rnacentral:lncRNA from 1 species
UAACCAAAACACCACCUCAAAACAUACAAAAGAAAACCAGAACAUUUGCUCAAGCCCUAUCAAAUUUUUGUGAUAUACGCACCUCUCAACUUCCCCAACCGAUCUUAAAAGGUGAUAACUUUGCUAUAACAAUCCUGAUGAGGAAUAUGUUGUUGGUAUUGCGGCAUGAAAGCAUAAUUGCAUGCUAGAGUCAUUUGGCCAAAGGGUUCCACCACUCUCAUUGUUUUUGAAUUACGAUCAAAGCUAUCAGCUAUGUGGAAGAACUUUAACAAGUGGGGUAUUCAAUCCUUAGGUAAGGGAUACUAUGAACUCACUUUUUCUUGUUUAGAAAGAUGUAAAGAAAGUUUGAUCAAUUCCAUCUUGGAAUUUAAAUCCAUGUAUUUUGAAACUCUUCACUUGGAUCAAAGAUUUUAACCAUAGCAAUCAAACUAGUUCAUCUGCACAUGUUUGGGUUAGACUUAGAAUACAUGGCCUUUCACAUGAAUAUUGGCGCUCUAAGAUCUUAUUUGCUAUUGCUAAUACGAUGGGAACCCCUAUAUGUACUGAAUCUGCAUCUACAAAACCUAUGAUUUGUAGAAUAUUUGGCCAAUUUGUGAGAGUUUUGGUGGAUAUGAAUAUUACCCAAACUCUAAGAUAUAAAGUUCUUGUUGAGAUUAAGGGUUUUCCUUUUUCGCUUUUUUUUAGAGCUUGAAUAUGAUAAUUUACCCAGUUGUAAAGGUAAGUUGUAGUUAUUUUAUGUAACUUUGAAAUAUCAGAUUUUUUCUUUACUUUUGGUUGCAUUGUUCAAUUGCAUUCAUUGCUUCCACACAGAAGAAUCCGUGUGAUUUUUGCAUUGUAAAAUAUAUUUGCACAAAUAUUCAUUUUUGUUUUGCUCUAUUAGUUAGAAACUUUGCUUUACUUCCCUCGAAAAAAAAAGAAAAAGAAACUUUGCUUUACUUGCAUUGAGAUGAAAGUUUCUAUGAUUCCCCUUGUAAAGUUCAAAUAUUAAAAGCUAGUAUUUGAUAUCUUGAAGCCAAAUCAUCCAAACAUUUGAAUCAAAUUUCUUUGAAUAAAUGCAUUAGUACAAAUUUUACUAGGAAAAGGUAAUGUUUCUCAACCACGAUUGCUUCAUUCCGAAGAAACCAAAAACAUAGAAAUUCACCCCAAAAACUGACAUAAACAUGCACCUCAAUACCUCAUAAUAAUUUCAUAACAAUCAAAUAUUACCCACCAUUAUUAUUAUUUGUUUGUCAAAAAUUAUUAUUAUUAUUAUUUUUUAUAUAUAUUUUCAAGGAAAUUUUCAAAAUUCACCUCAUUUUGUUGGUCUUUUCUUUUCUAUCUUAUGAAUGAAGAGUAAUAAUAAAAUUCAAAAUGCAUGAUGAUGCAUCAAUGGACCCUUGUAAGUUGUAACAACUUGAUGCUUUCAAUUUCCAAAUGUACUUUCUCAUCUACAUAGUUUGGACAGAUUCACAUUUUCUGAUAAAUAGAAAAAGCUAAUUAAACCCAAAAUGUAAACAACAAAAAGUUAUUAAAAGGUUCUAAUUAAAAAACUAAACAAGAAACGGUUCUUAUAAUCUCUUGUCUCUUGUACAAAUGAGAGAAAAAGCCGCUUAAGUCAAAACUGAACCAAAACCGAACCAAGUCAAACCCGGUCUAAGCCGGAUAUUGAAGCCCCAACUCCACAUUCCAUGAGCCAACACCACAAUCCUUCAAUACAACCCUUCUUUUCUUCACAGGAACCACAUGGUAAACACGUGAAACCGGUUCAAGCCCAAGAGUCAGCUCCAAACCAACCUUUUCCUCUCCAUUCUCACCGGUUCGGUCAGCCGGCUUCAUUUUUCGGUCCAACUCCGGUUCAUCUCUAAAUAAGAUCAUCGAAGUUUCACUCUCGCUAUCUUUACUCUCUCCAUCCACCACCGCAACCGCCUCAGACUGGUGGCUAAUCGACGACUCAUGACUCACUGACCGGUUCAUCACCUCUUCAACCGGUUCAACCGAACCGGUCGGUUCAGUUGAACCGGAUUCAACUCCCUUGUUAUCAUUACUACUCUUUUCCUCUUCUUGUAUUUUCAGCUUGGCUAAACUCGACCGCUUACGCGACCGAGGCUUGACUCGUUGUUGAGUCAACUCAGUCGACGCGGCUGAGUUUUCCUCCUUCGACACAUGGCGGAUGUCAUAGGCUUUGAGUGGUGGGCCCCUCCCGUUAGCAGCUGCUUCCGAAGUUAUCGGCGUGAUCGGUGCGCCUUUCAAAACGGCUUCCACCGCGGCUUGACAUAGCUGCCAGCUUCCGGACCAUAAUAAACCGACUGAACCGUAAAUUGGGUUCACUAUUCGACCACAUGCUUCGUACAACAACGAACGAAAAAUUGCUGCAAAUUAAAAACAAAAAAUAUCAAUAACUUGUUUCUUGAUUAAAAAAAUUGACAAAAAAAAACACUUGUUUCUAUGUGUGUGCUCUCAGGUUCUAAAUAUAAGAAAAUUUCGUCUAUAAAUAUAUCAACUUUUAUUGAUCCAACUUUUUCUUAUAGAGAGAUAUGUGUGUCCAAUUGCAUGUUUAGAUAAACGGUGAGAUUUAACAAAACUAUAUAUUCUCAUAUAUGUAAUUUUAUUAAGGUCACCGUCAAUCUAAACAUGCACUAAAAUUGUAAAAUAAUUAUUAAUGUCACUUUUUACGAACCUGGACGAAGAUGUUCGGGACCAGCGUUAACAAGGUUCAUGAGACCAGCACGACCGUAGAAUUUGGCGAGAAACACGGUGGCAUUAGCCUGUGAUUCAGGGCUUUUGAUCCAUUGCAAACAAGGUCUUAUGCUACAGUUUUCACUGCAACCUUUUCUUAGUACUCUACAACCGUUGCAACUCAUCCGCAUUUUUAAUGAAAAUUUUUCAAAGACCCAAUUGAGAAAAUAAGAGAUUUAGAGAAGAAAAAUUAGACUUUGAUGAAGGCUAAGAUUGUGUCUAUGAAAAAUAUGGGAAAGAAGUGUAUAUAUUUAUUUGAUGUGUGUUGAGAGAGAGAUAGAGAGAGAGAGAGAGAAAGCCAAUGGAUUUUCAGGUACUAGAUUGUGGGGAACGCAGUUGUUUCUUAACAAUAGUUUUUGUUUUGUUUUAUAGUACUACUUUUGUGUAUGUGUUGUAUUAUUGUGUUACUAUAAAAACCAUGGUUUUUCCACAUUAAGGGAGGUUGGGGUUUGAGAAGUAAACAACCAAAUUUGUGGAACAAGAUAAAUGAAAACCACUCUCAUGAUAAGUGCGUGUGAUUAACUUCCAAUCAUAGGACACUUAUCCCUUUGUUAUUGGGAUGGUAGAUGACGUGGAGUGACCUUCAAGAGCCAGCUAUUGAGCACUAUAACAUUUUACUGUGUCGUGGCUUGCAAGUUGUAACUUGCUUGCAUAGAGAAGGAGGUACACAUUCAAUUCAAAUUGAAUAAAAAAAAAUUGUAAGAAAAAGGUAAAAAAUUAUUUAGAAAAUUUUGCAUAGAGAAGUUUUUUUGACCGUUAAUUCAUCACUAUUAACCUCAAAAAUAAAUCUUGUAAAACAUUUAUUUGUUGAAUUUUCUUUAAAAAAAUUGUUGAAUAUCUUUUAGUACAAUGUAUUUUAUAUAAGUUUACUUAAAAAUAUGGACUGAAAAUUAAGAUAAAAAAAAAUUGAAAGAUUAUAUCAAUGAAGAUUUUUAGAGACAAUAUUAACCCUCAAAAUCAAUUCUAGAUUCUCUAAAGUCUAAAGAUUAAAUCAAACUUACACGUAUUCUAUUUCAAUCUUUAAAUUGGAUUCACUUUUACAUCAAUUUCAAAUUUAACCAUGAUUGUGUUCAUGCCUUUAUCACUAUAGAAAUCUACCAUAUUACGGAAUCUUUAACACAAGAGAGAAACUAGGAAAAAAGUUGAAAGUGAAAUUUGAAGAAAAUAAGAGAGGUGGGUGUCAGAAAGUACAUGCAAAUGGGUACAAAAAUUAAGAAAAGAAGAAUAAGGCGCGUGGCAAACACGAUCAGGUGACAGAGUGCGGUCGAAUCGCCACAUAUUAUGGUGUGUCUUCAUUUCAAAAGCGGUUUUGGAAUAUUAUUUGAAAAAACAAAUGGUGUAAAAGCUCCUGGUUUUUGGGAAUUAGAUGGAAAGUGGUUUUUUAGGACAAAACAGGUAACUGGUUUCUGGUUUUUGGUUUUCAUUUUUUGGGACUGUGGGCGCUGAAAGAUAGAAAGAGAAAAAGUGUCAAAGCCAAUGGUUUUAGUUUUGGAUAGAUUGUGUGGCGUGUAGAUGUUGUAAGUAUUAGAUUGGUUUUUGUUUCUAAUCAAAUGUUAGGAGAAUAAUUAGUUAAUUAAUUUUAUCAAUAGUUUAAUCUUGUGGGACAAAUAUGGAUAUUGUUCAACUUGCAUUUGUUUUAGUAGAUCAAAUUUUAGCACUACAUUCGUCUAAUUGACACAUGUUAUGUGUCAUACACAUUUUCCCAACAAGUCAUUUUAUAAAUUCUUUUUUGUUAAGACUUUAGUCACACAUGUAAUGUUGGGGUCUUACAAAUAUAACGAUUAUGUCAACUUGUAUCCUAAAAACAUAAAUUAAGGAGAUUAAAAUAGAAAAAAAAAUGUUCUAAUUAAAAAUGGAUCUUGUUAAUUAGUGCUCUCGAGGUAAUGGUUAAGGAAUCUACAAAUAGAAAUUUUAUCUUAAAAAUAUAAUACGUUACUUUUUAUCAAAUAACUAUUACACAAUUUUUUCAUAAAAAUUUAUUUAUUUUGGAUGUUUAACCAAUGCCUUUAGCGCACGAAAAUUUUGUAACCAAGCAGCAAAUUCAGUGGCCGGAUACUAACUUCUUGAAACUUCAGAUUCUUGUCUUUUGUGGCUUGCAACUCCAUAAAUUACAAUGAAUAUCACCUAAAAUUAUAUGAAAAAUGCCUACUAAAAAUGUAAUGACAUAAUGUCAUCACAUUGUGGGCACAUCCAAAGAAUGUCUUGAUGAAAAGGCUAUAUGGGAUGUUUGUUUCAGAUGCGAGGUUGGAAUUUUGUCCAACCUCGAAUAUGUAGGGUGUUGCAUACAUAUAUUUCAUAUAUUUUGUCCAACUAUAUAAAAAAUAACUUUAAAAUGACUUGUUAUGAGAAUCCUACUCGGCAUGAGAUUGAUUUUCCUUUGAUAAGAAAUGUAGAAAAUGUGCACUUUUUUCACCUUUCUCCUUGGAGGAAAUUGAGUUUUCCAUUAGAGAAUGUGAUGGAAACAAGAGUUUAGGCCUAGACCAUUUCAACUUCACCUUUAGUAUAUUCUUUUUGGAUUUUAUGAAGGAGAUAUUAUAGUUAUGUUGUACCAAUUUCAUGAAACACGACCCUUCUAAAAGGGUUGUCGUCUUACUGUUUGGCUUUGAUCCCGAAAGUGGAGUCACCAAGUAGACUCGAGGACUUCCGUCUGAUAUUACUUCUUAUUUGGCUUUAUAAAAUUAUUGCAAAAGCAGUAAGAAAAGUGGUAGAACUGAGUAAAUUCAAAUUAUUCCCUUUGGGUAUCAAUGGCACAAUAGUAUCUCAUCUUAAAUAUGUUAACGACGCAGUAUGUAUAAGGACUUUGAAGGAGAAUUUGAGGGAUUUGAAAUGACUUAUGGGCUGAAGGUGAAUUUUCAUAAAAGGUUAUUGAUGAAAGUUAAUGCCAAUGAUUCUUUCUUCCAUUCAAAUACUUAGGAUUUGAAAUAUAUUGAAAUUAUGUGGUAACAAGUAUGUGAGUUUGGGUGGGAUAAUUGUUUCACUAAACUGUAGCUUUACAUCGCUUUCUCUCUCACACUCCCCCCCNNNNNNNNNNNNNNNNNNNNNNNNNNNNNNNNNNNNNNNNNNNNNNNNNNUAUAUAUCGGUAAAUGCAUGGAAUGAUGUGAUGUAGAUUCAAAGCAAUUUUAUUUGGGGAGGGUUAAGAGGGGGGAAAGAAAAUUCAUUGGGUAAGUCGGGAAUGGAGAGUUUCCAUUCUAAAAAGGACGUGGGUCUUUGAGUGAUAAAUCUUUGUAUUGUUAAUUUAAGUGUCUUGGUGAAAUGGAGGUAAAUGCUUUUAGACAAAAAACAAGCUUAGUGAGUAAAGACUAUAAAAACUAGAUAUGGGGUGGAUGUGGCGGGGAACCGGAACUUGGAGGAAGUUGGAAUACAAAACAAUGCCUCUUUGUAGUGGAGGAGUAUUUUCUCUUUGGGAGGGGGAAAUCCACAAAUAACAAAUUGGUUCUCGCAAGCAACAUUAAGGAAGGUGAAAAACGAGCUGAGUACUCUUUUGGCAUGAUAAGUAAGUCGAUUGUGGUUUUCUUAGAGAUAAUUACCUUCGAUUAUAUUCAGUUUUGUCCUAACAACACUUGAAAGUGAUUGUGUUAGAUGGUUGGAUGAGGGGAGUUUGACAAUGAAAACUACAUAUAAGAUGCACACCCUUUUAUGAAUCUCUUUUUGCAACAUCCAUUGAUAUUGGGCUAGGAGCAUGUUAAGGUUUGCAAGUAGAGAAAUGUACAAAUUUUGAUUGUGGGGAAUUCAACCAUCAAUUUUUUCUUCUUAUGUUUAAGUUUAUUUUUAAUUUUUAUUUUUUGUUGUGAACAAAUGAAUGAUGCAUUCUCAUGGUUGAAUUCAAACAUAAGAGUUGUGAUUAAGUUGAAAGAGGUCCUUUAACAUCUUAUCCAAAUGCAAUUGGAUUAAGUCUAUUUUUUAUUCUUAUAAAAUUAUAAUUUUUUUAAAGUGAUAUUUUUUUUUUUUUUUUUUUUGGUAGCCAGGUCCGAACCUUAAACCUUGCAUAUUUUAUGCAUUGUCCAUAUCAACUGAGCAAAGUUCACAUGGACAUUUUUGUUUUUGUUUUAGUAUAACACGAAAAUUAAUAUUUAUUUAUUAAAAAAAUAAAUUAUUCUAAUACUCUUAUAUACAACAAAGAUUCGAAGCAUACAAUUUUUCUACUGUUUAAGAAGUAAACAAUUAUUUUUAAUUAAAAGAUGAACAUAAACCAAAAGUAAACUUUAUCUCUUUUCUAAGAAUUACAAGUACAUUUAACGACAUGUUUGGAUUAGUUUAUUUUAGAGCUUAUAAAAAACAGCUUAUACAGAUAAAUAAGUUUUUAUAUAUUAUUUAUAAGUUUUUAAGGCAGUUUAUGAAAAAACCGUUUAUGAAUAUACACUUUUCAUUAGUGAGAGUUUAUAAAUUAAAAUAAAAGUUUAUUUAUUUACAUAAGCUAUUUUUCAUAAGCUCAAAAUAAGUUCAACCAAACCGAACCUAACUCCAUCUUAUUUGUAAAUAAAACUAUAGAUGACUUAUAUAAGUCAUAAAUUCUCAUUUGAUUUAGGAAAUACUCCAUCCAGUCUUAAAUAUAAGACAAUAAAUUUCUUUUAAGUUCAUUGAAUAAUUAAUGUAUUUUGGACUAUAAUGUAAACUAAAUAUAUCAUUUAUUCAAUUACUUUAAAAUAUAAACUUCUCUUAUAUUAAGGAUCGGAGGACACUGACCGAGGCAUAUGUGUUCCGGGGGUUCAGCUGAACCACCUCAACCUACUAAAUUUUCACAUAUAUCUAGUAGCUUUUGGCUUUCAACCCCUCAAGUGUAAGUGCUGCACCAUGUUUGCACCACAAAUUCUCAUUUUAACUCCAGUAACCCACGCUAUUUCAUGUGUGGCACCAUGUUUUCAUUGAAAUGUUAAGUACUUCGCCACUAAACUAGGGAACAUAUGUGAUAUAUAUAUCGGUUCAUAUUUAUACAUGUUUAACAUUUUAAAUGUUUAUAAUAUUUGAAAAUUAUAAUAUAGAAAUAUGAUAAAAAUAGUAUUUUGUAAUUUAUAAAAUAUAUUUUAAUAUAGUCACCAUGGGUCUAAAUGAGAUGAUAGAGACAUUAUGUUAUACAAGUGUCUGAGUUCGAACAUCUAAUUUUCAACUUAUUCACACCAAAAGGGGGUGAAUUGACAAAAAACAAUAUAUUAAAAUGUUAUGUCUCUAAUAUUCAUAUUUAUAUCAUUAUAUAAAGACAAACUGCAAAGUUAAUCAUGAGUUAACUACCCUUUUGGUCGGUCCUUUCUUUUGAAAAAAAUUACUUUAGGAAUCCAACUCGUUUUUAAAUUUAAAUUGAAAUUCAUGCCUGAACUAUAAAAAAUUUGAAAACUAAAUAUAUUUACUUAAACAUUUUUUUCAAAUUUAAAUUAAAAAGCAAAAAUAAAAUAUAAAAACAACGAAAAAUAGUAUAAAAAAUGUGGAUAAACAGACAUUUUGUAUCUGUUUUCCGCUGGUGAUAUAUAAUACUGAAUUUUCUUUUAAAAAUAUAUUAGUUAUAUAUAUAUAUAUAUAUAUAUAUAUAUAUAUAUAUAGUAUAAUUUUAAUUAAAAUUUAAAAGUGUAAACCCUUUGAAUCAGGAUCCUUGCAACGCCACUGUCGAAGGAGUACAUCAAGACUCAAAAAUUACACUAUACUAAAAAAGUUAUCACUUUUGCAGCGAAGUUUUAUGUGAAUCAACUCGAUUUUUAUGGUGAUAAUAGUCUGUUGGUAUCGAGUCAUCAUUGCAUUUGCAUGUAAGGAAGAAAAAACUACUGCUUAUUACAUUCCAUACUAUAUACUUUGAGAGGGCAUUCUUGAAAAAUAUAUUCAAUACUAUAGAAAAAGGAAUUAAAAAAAUAUGUAGCGGUGGCUGUGAAGGCAAAAGUUGUAUGAGCACAUGCAAACUGUCCAAGAUAGGGAGGGACGUAAAAACACACGUUUGGGAUUCAUAUCACACAGACACAACGUUUUCUAUGUAUUUUAAUUUAAAUGAUAUAUAAUAACUAAAAUAAUCUAAAUAAAAAUUGUAAAAUAUAAGAUAAAAGAUUGUACAUCAAAUUCUUUUUAUUGGAUACUUAUAGUUUUUUCAAAAUUUGCCGGGAUCAAAUCAGGUUUCAGAUUUUUUAUUUGUAACUUUGUAAAUCUUUUGAAAGAAUUUAAAGUAUUUAGGGGUAAUUUUUGUUUGCACCACCAAAUAGAUGGGUGCAACUUAGACUGCCCUUUUAUUUUAGUUUGCAUUAUCUUGACGUUGUUAUGUUCAAAAUGAAUUUUCCACCAUUUGGAGGAAGUGAAUAUCUGAGUAUGUUAGAUCAGCCACGACUUCGGUAUGGUGAAUGGUUGUCCGACGGAGGAGUUUUCUAUGGAAAAGGGGCUUGGGCAAGGAGAUGCUCUCUCCCGGUUUCUUUUUUUACUUACGGCAGAAUGUCUCAAUGUGUUAAUGACGUUGUUAGUGAAUGCGGGGUUGUAUAUAUCGUGGUUACCAUGUUGGGCAUCAUGACAAUGUUUGUCUUUCUCAUCUUCAAUUUGCAGAUGACACAUUGAUACUUGGUGAAAAAAGUUGGGCAAAUGUGCGCUACAUACGGACGGUAUUGAUUCUUUUUGAACAAGUGUCUAACCUAAAGGUUAACUUCCACAAAAGUUUACUAAUAGGAGUUAAUGUGUCCGAUUCUUGGUUCAAGUUUACAAAAAGUGGUUCAAGUUGCAGCCAUCUAUUUCGUGGUACAAAGUAAUGGAGACUUUCUUAUCUCUCGAACGAAUUUUAGAAUGGAGUUUUUAAUUUUUUUUAUCAACUUGAAACUAAAAGACAAAAUAAAGAAAACUAUGAAGCUUGAUGUUUGAACAUAGUUUGAAACAUAUGAUGUUUGAACGGUUCAUUUCAGCCCUACCUUACUUCUGAGACAACUCAAAUAUAGUUUGGAAUUUUAAUUGAAAACUAACUUGUUUAACUUGGUUUAUAAAUCAAAUGAAUUGAAUUUAAACUGAUUAAUUUCUUUAACGAAAUAAGUUGAACUUAAACUAUUUAUAGUUCAAAUAAUUUUGUUCAUGAAUUGAGUCAAUAAUAUGAGUUUCGAAAUGAAAUAGUAUUUUGAGAAUUUUGAAUUCUAUCUACAAAAUCUUAAUGAUUUUUGUUUCAUUUAGAUGUACUUUCUUGACCAAAAAAAAAUGCACUACUUCUAUAUUUUAUGUGCUUUUAUACUUUGAUUUUGGAGUGUUUGUAGUUGAAUAGGGUUUUAGUUUUUUAUUACAUACAUACAUACAUACAUAUAUAUAUAUAUAUAUUGUAUCGUGUUCAUCUAUUAAGCACCUUAUGUUUAGGAGAACUCUUAUUUUCAUUUGAUCUUGGUCUUUCUUAGAAGAAAAAAAAUUAAAAGAUUAAAAAUAAAAAAAAAUUGACAUCUCUUAAAUAAAAAAAUAUUUUAAAAUUAUAUAAUUCAUAUAUGUGAAUUAAAUUUAAACAAGUUAAAUUUGAAUAAAAAAAUUAUACGAAACUUUAGUUCAAUUUCAAGCCGAAUAAAUUCUUGUUUAGUCGAGUUCAACUCAACUUUUUUUUUUUUUUUUAAAAAUCAACUCGACUUUAUUUGGAAAAUGUCAACAGUAUGUGUGGUAAGGUGGCGUUCAUGCAAUGCGACAAAGGAGGGUUCGGUGAAGGAAAGCGCGUGGCAAUUAGCAAUUAUGUUUAGAUGGGAUGUCAGAAUGACGGCCAUAAUGAAUUGAAUUCCCAAUUUAUUUGGAAAUUGGAAUCUUAUAUAAUUAUCUCUUUGCCAACUUUCCAAUUUAACUCCUGAUUUUUGGGAACACUAUUUCUCUAUUCUCUAUACUUUAGCACUUUAAUUUUUUUGACUAAAUUGUUCUUAAGAGUGGUUUCUGGUUUAGAGUCUCAGUCCUAUGGGCGACUCUGGUUUGAAAAUAGUUUAUGUGGUUCCCACCUAACAGUUUUCUAUUUAAGUUCAUUGAAUGGAACUAAUGUUUGCUUAAUUGUUAAUUAGAAAAGCUUGAUUAAAUAAUUGGAACUAAGUAGUGUUAUUUAUUUAAUUAAAUUGUCAGGAUUAAACUACUCAAUGGCAAAUGGAUUGAUCACCGACUCUAAAACGUUUGAUAAUGAUAAGAGAAAUUUGAUAGAAUCAAUUAUUUUUAUCAUAGUAUUUGUUUAGCCAAUCAAAUAUGACAACUCAAUGAUAGAUUCUAUCAUAUUAUGCAUUGUUUUAAAAAUUCCAUCGAAGCCAAAAGCUGAAUUUGUCUCUUAAACGUUUAAUUAUUAUGAAUGAAGAGAAUUUAUUUAAAUUGAGUUGGUGGUGUUGGUUUGGAUUCUUGAAAUAUGUUAUUUUUGAAGUUUUAUUUUGAUUCUUUUUUAUGUCAAUUUUAAUGAAUUUUUGUUUUGAAUAAGCUAAAUUAUUAAUUUUAGUGAAUUAGUUUAACUUCCUUAAAAAAAGUUUAUAAUAAGAAUUUGAUUGAAGAUGAAUGCUAGCAACAUUCGUUAUUGAAUAUUUUCUAUAAAACUCAUUUUUUUAUUGGAUGAAAUUCACACAUGUUCCACAACUUUGUAUGGAUUGUAUUUCUAAAGUGUACAUUUACAAUGAUUUAAACCAAUAAAAGAGUGAGUAUUAGAGAAAAUGUUAAAAGAAAGAAUUGCUUGCACUACUUUUUUAUUGAAUAAGUUGAGUUGAUUUAUGGAUUUCAUUUACAUACCUUACUUUGAACUCUUAACUUUUUUUUUUUUUAUUGGAAAUAAUAUGUUCUUAUUAUCGAAGAACAAUUAUUAUGUGACAUGUUCGUCAGCUACCAAAGAUAUUUUGCAUCAUAGACAAAAAAAAUUGUUUGUCUUCUUUUUCCAUCCAAUUAGUUUUUUAUUUUCCCUGCGAACUUUGAACUUUAUAAUUCGAAAAAUAUUAAUGUUUCUAAAUCUUCUAAAACACGUUUAAAUACCUUCAAAAACUCUUCUUCAUUUAUUUUUUGAAUUUUAUAAUUUGAAUAGAGCACACAAGCAAAAACGGAGGUGUAAAAGAAAUAGCUAAAAAAUUACUCCUAUACUUUAUCAAGAAGCCCAUAUAUAAGAAGAGUUGAUUAACAAGAGAAUGAAGAAAAUUGCUUUUUUUCCCUUUGGUUUUUCCUCAUUCCCACAUGAUUUUUCUAAACAACCUCAUAGCGAGUUAAUUUAUGUUUGGUAUCCAGCGUUGGCUAACUUGCACUGGUACCCAACGCAAGUUAACAUGCAUUGGUGUAACACCCCGUUACCCAAAAGUAAAUAAAUAACAAUAAUCAUCAGAGUAUUUCACCAAACGGGUAUGCUACAUUGCAAUUUCAAAAUUCUUAAAUAGAAAAUAAAACUAUUUAAUCAAACCACUUGAUAAAAUAUGAAAACAUAGCAGCGGAAUAGUUUUCAAUCCAACAACAUCCUACGGCAUUAAAGGCCUUAGCAUAAUUCAACAACAUUGUUCAAAAGGCAAUAAAGGCUCCACAUCACAAAUCCAAAAUUCGAUACAUGGAAAAGAAACAACAAGAAUAUAAAUAACAGUUCCCAUCCCACGUAUCAGAGCCCUAGACACGACUCUUGAGCCACCAUCGACUACUCAGGAUCACCUGCAAGUUACCCAUAGGAAGGGCAACAUUUUCAAGCAGAAGGGGUGAGAUUCACAACAACAAUAUAGAUAUUAAAUCUUCAAUUGAAUCUAACACCCUAUAACUUCAAAUAUAAACAUUUUGCAAAUAUCCAUAAUUAUUCACAAGCCACAACAACAUCAUCAUAAUCAUCCACUUAAGAGGUAUGUAUACAAUGUACAUAAUAUCAACAACAUCAACAAUACACCAAGACCACAAUGAAUACAUAUAUAUAUGAAUGUAUAUCCAACAUCAACAUCAACCAGAUAAUAACUGAAAGAACAACCGAGACUCAUGCAAAUGACAUGACCACUGCUAAGACACCAUCUUAGACUUCUUAAAUGAAAUGCAAUAAUGCAUGUGGUACCAAUCAGGACCGAGGCCCUCACCGCUUUUGAAUGGUUAAAGCAUUCAUCAGGACCGAAGCCCUCACCGCUGUUGAGCAACUAGUACUCCAGGACCGAAGCCCUCACCGCUGUUUUAUGCAUAUGCAAUGGACCUACUUGUGUAUAUCUACAUACAACUGACCAUGCAAUGCAACUCCAUGUGACUCAACUUAAACAACAUGUAUGAUUCAAUACUUUGCAUACAUUUCAUUCAUCAUCAGCAAUCAUCAAUCCAGCAAUCAAAACAACCACAAUAAUGCAUAAUUACAUGAAACUAUGCUCAACACAACAACAUUAAGGUACUACCAUUCAAGCACGAAAAUCAACAUUCAGGAACUGAGUAGCUCGCCUCGCGAGCACAUCUGCUCGCCAUGGCGAGUUCACAAAAACACUAGCUCGCCAUGGCGAGUUCAAGGCGAACUCGAGGCGAGUGAAAAUCAGGUGCUCUCGGGAAAAAGUGACAUUUUCUCACUCAAACUCCAAUUCUAAGCUCCCUAUUCAUCUUUCUAACCUAAAACUUCCACCAUUCAUCAUUAAAAUCAUCUAGGUACCUUAAACCAUCCCCAAAACAUCUUAUAACAACUUUUCAAAAAUCAAGUUUUAAUCUGGGCUACUCGCCAUGGCGAGUUGGACUGCUCGCGAGGCGAGCUAUGAAGUUGCUCACUCGCCAUGGCGAGCACAGCUACUCGCGAGGCGAGCGAUGAACUUCUGUACGGGCAGAAAACUGGUUUUACCCAAAAAUCCCAUUUUUCUUCCAAUCACUCCCCAAAUCAGUUUACAGAUGCAAAUUAACUUUCUGUAUGCACUUAGAACCUAUUUCUAACAACAAAUUCAUGCUUACAACUUCAAAACUACAAUUUCAUCAAAAACCCAAAAUCCCCAAUUUCUACCAAAACCUGUUAAACUCAAAAUCAGACUUUAAAUUCUACACCAUUGAAGUAAACCCCACCCUUACCUUAGUUCAGAAUGAAAAAUGCACAGCAAAAAGGGUUCCUCUGGUUCUUCUCUCUUGCUCCUGGUUUUCUCUUCCUUGGCUUGGUUUCACGUAAAACUGUUUCUGACUCCCACUUUCUAUUUUCUUAACUUCCCACUUAAGAGUAACUCCCUCCUAAUUACACUUAACUCCCCCAAAUUCCUAAUAACUCCAAUUAAUUCCCCAAACACCAAAAUAAUUAAUAUUUCAUACUUAUUCUAAUUAUUAUUAAAUAAACCAUAUAAUAAAAUAAUACACCACAUAAAUCACCCAAAAAUCACAUAUACACAAAUAUAUGCAUAUAUAUACUCCGCAUAAAUCACCAAACAUCAUAUAUAAUAAUAUAUAUAUACUCCACAUAAUAAAAUAAUUAAAUAAAUAACUAGGGCGUUACAAUUGGCACCCAAUGUGAGUUAACAUAUGCCAGUUUUAGGCAAGCUAACAACACAACAUUGUUUGCCAAAGACGCUGACAUUACAGUGUCUUAUACUUAGUGUAAAAAUUAGCAAGUUUCUUUGAUAACUCAAAAGAAUGAAGAAAACACAUUUUGUAUUCUAUCAAAUCAACUAUAUAGGUUCUCACAUCGGGUGGAAGACUAAUUGGUAAAUAACACAUCAAUAAAAAGUACAAAACUUUUUGCUUUGACCUCUCUCUAGACAAAUCUACUUACCUUAUCCCUUUUUCCAAAACAGGCUGCCCAGAUGUAGAAUAUAGGCAGCGGUGGUGCGACGAGAUUUCAUCUCCGCACCACCCUCUCCAACCCCCCAUGGGUUGCUCUCUGUUCGGGUAUCGAAAUGGGUUCCGAUUUUUUAUUUGGUUGUGCUUUGUUUUUUCAGAUCUGACGCUAUUCAUCUCUUUCCUUUGCCAACAACUAUAACUACUCAUUCUUCUAGAAAGACUCUUCCCACAUCACUGUUACAGCUUCUAAGAGCCAUAGUCAUCAGCUCAAGCCUUGUUGUUGCUUCCUAGCUUUAUUUCUUUAAUUCCAUAUCAACACAACCACCUUCGCUUCCGAUCUACACAUGCAUCCUCCUAUUGGUGUUGUUACUGGCAAUUGGUGGCUAUAGGGGGGUCGUGAUUUAGGGUCUUACAUCAGAGCCAUUUGGUGUUGUUCAAGUGUGUUUUGGUCGUGUGGGUGGUGCUACUCGAGUUUGACGUUGACGGGGUCGUUAUGGCGGUGAUGUGGUGGCUGUUCGGUGGGUGUUUUUGUGCAGAGGAGGUGCCGAGAGCAGUGCUGCGUGGAGUGGUUGGUCAGAGGUUGAUGUGUGAUUCGGAUGAAAUGGGGUGGGAGGUUUUUUGGUUUGGGUGUUGUUUUCUCCGGCGACGGUUGCCUACACCUUGUCACCGACAACAACCUGUUUACGAUCUAGGUUGUGUUCCCACUUCGGACCGGCGUCGAUGUCCGUGUUUUGUUGUUGGGUUUCGGCUUCCUUUAUAUAUGUACUUAUGGUGCCACCUGUUUUCUUGGUGAGGCGGCUUAGGGUGGUGGUGGUAUUGAUGUGUGGUGGUGGUUUUGAUUCGAUUGAUGUGGUGGUGAUUCGGUUUGCGUGGGUGUAUGUGGGGUUAUUUGGUGUGGUUUGGAUGGGUGGUCGUAGUUUUGGUGUUGAAAAUUUUGCAGACGAGAGCUUUAACAAGGGUGGUUGGUUUUGCUUGUGUCAGAAGGUGGGUCUUUAUGUGGUGUUUAUGAGGAGGAAGGUGUUUGUUGGGGGUGAUUUCUUUUAGAGGCAGCCUAUUUUACACGGGUCCUUGUUUCGUCGUCACUAGCUCUUGUUUGCAUUUUUUAGGAUUGUUAGGUGUUUAUGGUGUUUGGUGGAAGUGGGUCCCGUUGAGCUGAGUCUUUCCCUUUGAAUCUGUUUGUUGUUUGCACCACCGCAUAUCAUGUCGGUUGCCAUACUUUUUCUGUGUUGGUUUCCGGUGGACCGAUUUUUUUGCUUCGAGAUCGGGAGUUGGUGUCUAGCUGUAAUUUUGUUUGGCGCAAUUUGGUGUUUCUCUGAUGUAUCGGGGGUGAGGGGUGCCCUUUUGAUUUGGUCAUAAAGUCUGGUGGGCCGAUCACUUUUGAUUCAAAAUCGGAAGUCAGUUCUUUGGCUCAAGUUUUGGUUUUGGGCUUUUUAUGGUUUCUUUCGGUGGAUCGGAGGUCGAGAGGGGGUGGCAACUGUAUGAUCCCUCGGAUAAGAUCUUUUCAGAUGUGGCUCAACUUUGGUUUCAUGACAGGGAGUUUAGUUUUGAGGGGUUUUUCUUUGGGGGGUGAGUAGUGACGAUGAGUGGUAUUAGAUAUCGUUUUUACAGUGGUUGCUUUCGUGAAAGGGGUCUGUUUUAGGUGGUGAUGUGUAUUUUGGUGGAUGGUGUCUUCAAGGGGUUUUUAGGGUGUUUAUUUUCGGGAGUUCCGCCUAUAUACGGCGUCGUGUUUGUAUUCUCAGUUUCAUCGAUCUCCGUUCGUCUUGAGUAGAGAUGUGGUUGUUUAAUAAAAUUUGUUGUUUCAGAAAGAAAAAAAAAGGUUCUCAUAUCGAAUUCCCUUGUAUAAGAUGAGUGUGACAAACACAAAUGCAUUCCAAUAUAUUCUUUUGAACUUAAUCCUACUGCCCUACCAACUGACAAGUUUCAAUUGACAGAGGAGCAUGAUCAAGCUCAAAACAACAUCUUAGAAAUGCAUUCAUGUUUGUCACAUUCAUCUUAUACGAAGAAAUUCAUUGUGAGAACAUAUAUAGUUAGUAUAAUACAACACGUGUUAUACCCAUUCUUUCGAGUUUUCAAAGAGACUUCAAAACCUUUACACUAAGUAUAAAACACUUUAAUGCAAACACCUUCAGCAAACUACCAUGAAUUAAACUUAAUUCCAACAAAAUAACGACACAACAUAAUAAUACAAUUUUAUACAACCUAAAUAUUUUCAUCUAGCUGAAUCAAACUGUUCAAACAUUCAAACAUUUCAUCAAACACUUGGAGUGCAAAAUAUACAUAAACCUUAAAACCAAAACUAAAAUAUAAACAUGCAAACAUCUAAAUAUUUAAUUAACUUAAAUCUAGUCUAACAAUGAUUCAUAACAUUUAAAUGUAAACAUUUCCUACCAAAAAAUCAUAAUUUAGAUAAACCAUAAAACUAAAGCAUUUCGAAUUUAAGAGGAAAAAUGUAACGUAUAAAUAUAAAAUGUCAAUGGAUUAUGAAAAAUUACUUGUUAUUGUAGUGGUGGCUUAUUUGAACUUGAAGAAAUUUGAUGUUGGAUGAUUUGAGAGAGUUUAGAGAUUGAGUUAUGUGAAAUGGAAGAAAUAAGAUGUUGUGUAUAAUAACGUAAUGUAACGUCCCGAAUUUAGAUCCAAAGCAUUACGCUUAAUUCAUUUUCACUUUUAAAAACACUACUAUUUUUUCAUCAAUAAUAAAUUCUUAACAAAAACUCUAACAAAAAUUCGUAACAUAAUUUAAUUUAAUUCUCAAAAUAAAUAUCCUUCAAAUUAUUUUUAAAAUUGCAAAUUCAAUCAAAAACCCAAUUUCGUCUCUGUACGUGCUUCAAGCAAAAGCAUACACAUGUCUUCUUUGGUACCUAAAAUGUUGGUGUAAGGGGUCAACUUCCAUAAACAACAAACCAUACAAAUCAAACCAAACAUACAGUACAAUAUUAUAAAAUAAAUUGAACAAGACAUAAGCUGCCAACAAGAAAAGAAAUAUUCACAAAUCAUUCUUCUUUUAUUUUUCUUUAGGUUACUUUGCAAUGCAAUGCAUGCUCCUAAAAUUUAGACAAACAUAAAUUUAACCGCCACACAUGCAAACAUAAUUAUUUAUCCGCCACACAGGCAAACAUAGUUUUUUUUUAACCGCCACACAGACAAAUAUAAUUUUUUUAAUCCGCCACUAAGGCACACAAAAUGCAUAUGAUAUGAAUGACAUGAAUGCAAUCCAACCACUAAAACAAACACAAUCAAUUAUUAAUAAUCAUCAUGCACAUGACCCAAAACCAAUCUUUUCAUAAAACUCAUUUUUCCAUUAUUUUCUUUCUUUCUUUAAUAUAUCAAAAUCUAACAUUUAUUUCUCAAACAUCACAACACAUGUUUCUUCACAUAUAUCAUUCACAUCACAUCCUCAUGCACAAAUAUCAUAUAAAACAUAAUUAAAAUCAUAAAUUUUACCACAUAAAGUUGUGUUUUACUUUCAUUUCUUCUUAACAACAGUUAUGAAUCAUACUCUUUAAAUUAUAACACCUAACAAUUAGUUACAAUUAUGAUAAGUAUGGAAAAGUGUCCUUACCUCUAAGACUUGUUUUUCAAACGCAAAAACUCAACAACCUCACGGACAAUUUGCAAGAGAAAGAGUUCAAAGCUUCAAAAAUAUAAAUCCUAAAAUUAGAGACAAAAUAGGAAUAAAAAGAAUAUAUAGAAAUGGUUGGAAAGGUGUUACCUUUGCGUCACAUAAAAAAUGGAACGAAAGAAACUAGACUUGAAAAACUAUUUGAUGAAUGAUAGUUACAUGAAAAACUAUUCAUUAUAGUUACAUGAAUAAUAGUAAUAAUUAUAGUGUAAUUAUUAUUAUUUUAGUUUUUUUGGUCAAGACUCAUAGCAUAAUUAUAGGGAUCAGUAUUUGAUAUGUGUGAGGUUGGUUCCUUGUAUUUAGGGGUUAACAAGAGAGGAACAUGACUAAUGAAGAGAGACGUGUUUUUUUGACUCAGCAAAAAAAAGAAAACUCACGGCUAAAAUUUGAGUGAAAAUAGGCAUGGACUAAGCAGAAAAUAACCACGUACAAAACAAUAGAAAAUAUUUUUGGAUACCCUUUAAAAUAUUCUAAAAACUAAAUACAUAUGAUUUACUAUAGUUUUUUCCUCGUGCUACUACCUCCUUGUCCAUAUUAUAUAUAUUUAUAUUUAUGAGAAAUUCUCAUUACAGUAAGUUUAGUUACUAACACUUUAGAUAGAAAUCUAACUAGUAAUCCAGAAGUCCUAGCUCAACUGGCAAAAUGCCGAAUUUGUUAGGCCGGAUGUCAUGACCAGGGUUCGAACCCAGGUACCUCCACUUGUGUGUGUGAGUUUAUAAUGACUUUGCCAUUUCGUCUAUCUACCAAAAAAAAAAAAAAAAAAAAAAAAAACAAAUCUAACUAGUAUUUUGGUUUAUAUAAAAAGAAAAUAGAUAGAUUCACUAAUUAGUAAAAUUCAAAUUGAUUUACUAUGUCGGAGACAAAUACAUAAAAGAUUAUCUUAUUAAAUCACACUAAAUUUACCAAUCAACAGAUAAAUUAAUUGUUACAAUUUUCUUAAAUCAAGAAAAGUACUACGAAUCACAUAUAUAUAAUGUAUAAAAAUAUUGGGAUGUUACAUGUAAUGUGAGUUAACUCAUGUUGGUAAUCAAAGCGAGUUAACUCACGCUGGAUACCGAAUGUGAGUUAAUUUAUGUUGAGAUUAUUUUUUGAAAUUUGAGGUGGAAAUGAGCAAAAUGAAAAUGGAGAAAAGCAAAUUUCGAGAAUGAAAUGGCCAUAUGCGACGAGACUUCAUUGAGCCAAGAGAUGGUAACCAUAUGGGCCGCAAUGCCACUAUCUCUCAUAACAAAGUCUAGACUAGAAUUAGGGAUACAACCUUUGUUUAGCAUUUGAUCCCCCAAUACACAUUAGGGAUACAUGCAUUACAAAAUAUAGAUGAUUUUCAUGCAUGAUAUUACACUUGAAAAUGAGUCGAACCAAAUCGAAUUUGGGUUCAACUCGAUUCGACUAGUUAAGAAAUGAAUUGACUCGAAAUUCGACAUGAAUUUUUUUGGCUCGAACUCGACUCUAUUUAAGCUCGUGAACAACUUAGUUCAGCUCGAUAGCUCAAACCGAAUGUAUCAAAAGACAAAAAAAUAUAAAGUAAUAAGAUUGUUAAGAGAGACAAAUUCAAAAGAAAAGUCAGCCCUUAAUUUAUUUAGCAUAAAAGUAGCUGAAUUACUACUCCCUCUGUCCCUUAAUGUAUCCACUCAUUGCCUUUUUCACAUUUCUUAAGAAAUGUUAUCAGUGUAAUUAAUGUGUCUGUUUUGUGUGUUAAUCUUAUCAAAUUGUCAUUUGUUUGUAUGUGUAUUAAAUUUGACUUUUCAUAUUUCAAGACAAGUUAGUAGUAUUAAUUAGGGGUAUGUUUAGGAAAAAAUAAUAAAUUCAUCUAGUAAUUUGAAAGGGGGUUUACAUUUAGGGACAAAAAUAAAAUAAAAUGGGGGCUUAGAUAUAGGGACAGAGGGAGUACACGGGUAACCAAUGAUUUACUACCAAUUUGUCAUAGUUAAUUAUCAUCCACUUACCUAAUGCUCCAUUUACUCCAUUUAGGCAAUGGAUGUGUGACAUGUGGCAAAAAAAUCUAAGGGUUGAAAUUAAAAUAUUUGUUUAAUAAUAAAAAAAACCAACAAAACAAAAAUGUCUCCCCUCUUCCGUUGUUUCCUUCUUCAGCAUUCCAUCAUCUCCGCCUCCUUUCAUUGUCAACCUUCAUCCACCGCCGUUCAUCGCUGCCCUCUCCCUUAAUAACAACACAUCUAAAAUGAAUUUAUGUCACCAAAAAAACUAUGACACCCAAGUAUUUCUCCAAAGAAACAAAGUAGCAUGAAAAGUCUGACGUCGAAAAGUAGUUAAAUACACCCACUUAUUUUUUAGAAGGAGUAUUUUAGCAAGUGAAUAACUAAAAAGUAGUUAAAUGCACGUUAAGAUGUAGCUUUGCUAAAACACUCCCACAUAAAAAUCAGUGGAUGGGUGUGUUCUAGCAAACCCCAUAUAUAUAGUUUAAAUAUAACAUUAGUCAAGAUUAACUCAAUUGACAAGAAGUUGAUAAUUACUCAAAAAAUGUGGUUUAACUCAUGCUGCGGUGCACAUACCCCGUAAGUGAAUAAUGAACAAAAUAUCUUUAUAAGCAUUUUAAAUUUUAAGGUUUGUUCCCUCAAUUUUUUAUUUUUUUUUAAGGUUUGUCUAAUUGUAUAUGUGUUCAUCUUUUUUCUCAUGGUCAAAAGCCAUUUAAUUUUUUUUCUUCCGCCUUUUCGUAAAAAAAAUAUCGCCUAAGUAAACUCCAGUUUCAAUUUUUGUAGAGGUAAACUUUUAUAAGAAUUAAUUCUCUAAAAAACCUUUUAAUUGAGUUAAUUCUCUAAAAAAGCUAUCAAUAUUAGUUUCAAUUUGGAUGAUUUAAAAGAUAAAACAAAUGAGCAUAAAGAAAAAGACCAAAAAAUAACCUCGAAAUUCCUCUAAAGAAAAAACCUUGAAGUUAUGCAUCAAGGUGACUAUACAAUUGGAUGUCAAGUGCUUAAAGUAUGAGUUUGAUUAUGCUAUUAUUGCAAGAAUUCUUCUUUUUUCAACAAGUUUUGCUCCCAUCCAAUCAAACCGAUCAAAAUACACCUGCGUUAGUUAACUAACACAGGUGUAAAUUUCUGUGUUAGUUAAGUGAAGCAGCGUGACUUAAGUCACGCAAGUGUAAAACACUGCGUGCGUUGACUCACGCAACAAUUAACACAUGCUUGAGUUAACUCACGCUCAGUCUGUGCAACAAGUUAGAACUGACAAAGACCUCUAUUUUUCCUAAUUUUUUUAUUCCUUCAUACAUUCAUUCAGUCAAUUGCUUACAUUUUUCAUCAUUCAUUCAAGCAUUCAUUUAAUUAAGCAUUCACUCAUAAUUAAAAUACGAAAAAUAACGGAAUAAAAUAACGAAAAAUGUCAUAAAAACGCCAAAAAGUGCAAAUGUAAUAAGAUUACAUCCAAAUCCGACAAAAUGUCAUAAAAAACUACAAAAGUCAAAAUGCUCUAUCCCGUGGACUCCCACUCCUCCUCCGCGGAGCCGACAUCUGCUACAACAUGCUCCACCGGGACUGUAUGCCCUGCAUCAAACGAAGAACCUCAUAUGGAUUACGAAACAGAUCAGGAUGCCCCGUUGCACUGUCCACUCUGGCUCUGAUGUUGCUGAUGAUCUGAUAUGGGUCGGGAGGAUGUCUGGCCCACUGCUGCUCAACAAGAACCUCCUCGUAGGGAGGGACAAAAUGAGGAUGGGAAUCAGUUGUGUAGUCAGGAAUGGCCACAGGGGGGUUCACAAUAGGAUGUGAUAUUGUACAGAACCAUAUCAUGCACACCCUAGAAUGGCACCGCGGCUCGUUAUCCGAAACCAGAUCACCCCUCUCCUGUUGGCUGAGGACAUGUAGAGCAAACUCCAUGAAGGCCGUAACCACCUCCCCUGGCGCCAGAGGCCCAAUGUCUGUAGGAGGCAUGUGAACAAUUUGGACAUACCCAUACUGCCUAAAAUCCCGUUCUGGCAAGUGACGGACCCUCUUGUCUCUGCAGGCCAUGAUCCAUCCGGAGUACCAACAUAUGUCCUGAAAGGGUGUAAUGUCUCGUCGUCUCUCGUACGACCUGACAUGAGAAUGGUCCAACGAAUCAAUGACAUCUCUAUAGAGUCUGGGAUCAGAAAAGCCCCUGAUAGGUUUCCAUUGAUCCAUAAGCAGGGGCAAGAGUAGGGUUGUACUCAUCAUUGCGAUUCCUUGGAAUGAGGUUCCUGAAGUGCGCCAAAGCUCAUCCUUGCAAACACAAAGAUGGUGUGAAAAAUCGUAUUUGAUAACGUUUUGAAAGUGAGGGGUUGUGUGUCUGUUGUUGUGUUAUAUGGCUUAAGUCACGCUGCGUGACUUAAGUCAAGUAGAGCCUUAUAACGUGUGUGAGUUAACUCACGCAGCGUGAGUUAACUCAUGUAGGGGUAUAAUAGUAAAAUCAGUUGGACGCGAGUGAAUUUUGUUGGGAGAAGAGCAUUUUGAAAUCAUUUAUCUUUACAUAUUUCUUAUUGUGUUCUUCAAACUCUUCAAUUUCUUAAUCGUGAAGUUCCUUGUUGCACAAACUUUCUAGUUAACUUUCCUAAAAUUCUAUCUACGUUUACACUUUAUCAUAUAUAUAAGUCUAAAAUUUACGAUGAGAUAAAAUUGACUGAUAUUGAACAAAUUCAUAAAAUAUUGUGCUAUUUUAAAGAUUAAAUUGAACAAUGAUUAUAAAUACAAGACCAAAAUAUCUUAUCUACCCAUAUAUAAAUUAUUCAAUUUUUUUAGGAAAUAAAAUAAUACUAUGUAAACUAGUUUUACAAUGACAUUUAAUUGAAAAAUCAUCACGCAAUCAUAUAAACACAUAUUAUAUUGAUUGUCCAAUUCCUUGAAAAAACAUGUUAGUCCAAUAUAAAUUUGUAAGAUCUUGUACCAUUUUUUUUUUUGGUAAGAUCUAACCCCUUUACGAUAUCGAUAUAACCAUAUUGUUAGACUAUACAUCAUUGCUUGAGUUCAAAUCGAUAAUGUGCAUGCCCCAUUUUCUCAAAAGUAUUUUCAUAGAAUUCAAAUAUAUUUAUUACUUUUUAGAAAAAAGAAAUAUUUAUUAUUCUAAAAUUAAAAAAGAAAAGCAAAAUAAAAAAUAAAAAAUCGUUUUCUUUCGGCAAAAAGGAACAACGAGCCCUAACUACACCAUCCAAAAAAAAAAAUGUCAGGAGGAGUGAAGAGAUCACUGAGACAAUUCACAUUCGGCGCCGGAAAAACCGCCGGCCGUAACUGUUACGGCCGCAUCACCUCCUUCCACCGCGGCGGCGGCCAUAAACGUUUACAUCGAGUCAUCGAUCUCAAGCGCAACACUUCUUCUUCCGUCGGUAUCGUCGAACGCAUCGAAUACGAUCCUAACCGUUCAUCUCGUAUCGCUCUCGUUCGUUGGCUCAACGGUAUCAAUCCACCUCCACAACGCACCACAACCACCGCCACUGCCGCCGCAGUAUCCACCGCAUCAUCAUCCUCCAGAUUCCUCAAACACGAUCCUGCAUCAAACGGCGAAAUUCGUGGUGUGUUUGGUUUGAAUUCGUUGCUUCCACAAAUCCACGCUGGAAGUAGUUCAGGGAAGGUGUUUCUGUCGGCGUUUUCGGGGAAGGGAGAUGAAAGUGAAUCGGUUUCGUCGGCGUUAGGGUUACCGAGGAUUGCGGUGGCAGCGUCGAGACCGGAGUUUUUUGGUGUGAAAGGGGAUGGUGAGAAAUUGGAGAUUAGGAAUUGGAAGAAGAAUAGUGAUGUUUGGAUGAAUAGGAAUAAAAGGAAAACGGCGAUUUCGUGGCAGAAUAUUGCUUGAUUGUGUAAUUUGGAACUUUAAUGUUUGUUAAAUUUUAGUUUGGAUUUUGUUUUAUGUAUUUUGAAGGAUAAUGCGUGAAUUUGCAAUCGUGAAUUGAUGAUAAUUUAGGUUAUUUGCUCUGUUGAGUUUGAUUAGUUUUGCAAGUGGAAAUAAUUGUUGCUGUUUAUUUUCAAGCUUUGUACCAAUGCUUGAUGAAGCGAAUUUGAAGAAUAAUAGUGAAGCUUAUAGAUCUUUUGUUGAGUUUGAAACUAUAUGGCACCGACAACUGAUUGGAGGUGUGUCUCUGACACGACACCGACACAUGUGGAUAUAUUCAAUUCAAUCAUUUUAUUAUAUUAAGUUAUUAUUAUUGUUGUCUGCGUGUUUGUGUCGUUUUUUAUAGGUUAGAACGAUGAAGUGGUCAUGAGUUGUUUUGCAGGUGGUAGAGUUUGUCACAAUGCAGCAUGAUUAUGAUGAUGAAGAUUGAGAUUUGAGAUGAACUAAUCAAGCAUUGCCUUUACUAUUCGGAAAUAGGUAUAUCUAAUAUCUUGAUAACUGAUUUGUGUAUUUAGGUUCUAGGCAUGUUUGAUAUAUGGUGCACUGACACUGAACAAGUUACUGAUAUUGUCACAUGAUAAUCUGAGAAAAUAGAAUUGAUUGAAAGUAACCACAUGUAUCGGUGUGUGUUGCUGUAUUUUGACACAAUUUUAAUUUGAAGUGUCGAUGUUACAUAGUAUUUGAUUACUUGGUCUGAAAACUGGUCAUUGUCUAUUGAAAAGGUUUUUCUUUGAGAAAUUUAUAUAUUUAGGAGUUUUUAGCCUACAGUCAUAGUCAUAAGGUUAGUAAGCACUUCAUUGUAUUCCUAAACAUAAUGUGGCCCCAAAAGAAGUAUCAUUUUUAUACUGAAAACAAGAUAAUUGUAUUACCGUAUGCAAUUUCCCUCUAAAAUCUAGUGUACAUUUUCUCUUUGCUUAAUGUGAGUAUACUGCUAUGAUCUGGAAUCUAUACCAGACAACACUGCUACCAUUCUUCUACCAUCAUUUGAAGUGACCUUUGUUUGUAGCAAGCAAUGAGGCAUUGUAUUCUGUGGACCUGUUUUUUUUUUAUUUGACAAAUAUUAGUUGUUAGUAAGUUAUGUUAAUUGUCAAAAUUAGAACUCUGGACCUCCUUAUUGUUGUGACUGGGUGUAUACAUUGUCUCGAAUGUCAAAUUGCUAUUGUCAUGGAAAUUAAAGGACAAACAUUGUGAGGUGCUUCUCAUAUAUACUUAAUUACUUAUGUCAUGGGAGUAAUGAACUAGGUUUUAUGGGUUUUAAAGGGAUACAUAAGUCCUAAGUUCGGUGAUUGCCUUACAUUUCAGAAACAGGGAUAGGAAUCAAAUGAUUUUUUUUUUUUUUUUUGGGGUUUAGUUAAAUGCUCAAAAUCAAUGCUUGAUGAAGUUAGAACUUGGAAAAUAAUAUUGAAUCAGAAGCCCACAGAUUUUAUGUUCAGAUUGAACUUUGAAGUGGUCAUGAAUAUGUGUAGGCUGUAGAGUUUGUCUUCAUUCAGAAUGGUGGUGAACAUUAAGAUUUGAGAAAUACUAUAACUAAUCAAGCAACACCUUUAAUCUUUGGUAGAUCUGAUAUCUUGAUAACUGAUUCGUAUAUUUAAGUUUCAGGCAUGUUUGAUUACUUGUUUUCAAAACUGGAUUUUGUCUCUUGAAAAACACUAUGUAUGUUUGAAAUGACGACGAGUUUGAUGAAAUCAAAGGGACACCGUGAUUUUGUUGAAGUCCAUAAGUGUAGCUUUUGCUGAAAUUACGGUCGCACGUUGCGAUUUGUCAAAUUCAUUGCCAGACAUACAUGUUUGAGAUCGAUUCCUCUCUUUUCACAGCUGUUUUGUGCUGAAAAAUUUAUCCAAUUUAGUUUUUACUAGCUUACAAAUCAUAGUUCAGGAGCUAUGAAACACACACUGAUCAUGAAGCUGACACAUAAACAUCAUUAAUAAUUUCAGUGAUUGAAUGUAAUCUACAGUGGCAGUAGUUAGUAAGUUAUGCCUGUACUUAGAAUAGGCUUCAAUUUCAAACUGUUUUGGAUGUUCCGACUCAACCACUUGAGCGAACACCUUGAGGAUUUUAGUGUAGAAUUAUUUUGGCUAUUCUUCUGUCAUAUAGUUAUCUAACUGAGACACUGUAUUGUUCCUAUGUUGGCACGUCUCGGCUAAUUGCAGCAACGUAACUGCUGUAUAUUUUUUUCUUCCAUUAUGCAGUACUUAGGAUUACAGAAUGGCUGCCCACUUAUCAAAGUACAUGAGUCAUACUCAACACUUUCAAAUGAAAAUAUUCUACCCUUUAUUUCUACAUAGUAAGUUCAAUGUGGCAACAACUAAACCAAUGAUUGAUCAAACUAUAAUUACCUAUACUAACUUGAUGUAAAUUACACCCUUCAGCAACAAAAGUUGAAGAAAACAGGCCAUUUGAACAAACCAUGUUCCCUGAAGAAUAAGCCAACCAUGGCCCAAUUUCGGAACAUCUUACGAUAUAUUUGCAAUACCCACUUUUGAUUUAUUAAUUUAUGGUCGAUAACACUAACUUCACUCUUUUUUGUCAUUUUUUUUUUUUACUAACUUUACUCUUUAUUUAGUUCAUGAACAUGAUCCGUUAGAGAAAGAUGAACAAUUGACAUUUUUGUAGUUCAACAAUCCAUGUGAGUAUACUACGCAAAAAAACCAAAGUUAAACCUAAAUUUUUAUAAUUUUAGAAUGUAUAUACAUUAAUACCUAAAUUUUUAAUUUUUUUUUUAAUAAUUUAGAUGUUUCAUUUCUAGGUAUCAAACUCAACAUCGUUAGCACACACUCUUCCAAUCUUCUAUGAAGGAAUGAAGUGGAAACUCGUUCAUAUGUUAAAACAAAGAUGAAGAAUUGAAGUGGAAACUCAAUCAUGUGUUAAAACAAGAUGAAGAAUCCAAGAUCCGAUCAAAAGUAUAUCAGUACAAAUCCAAAGUCCAACCUAUCAUAGUUACACUAUACUAAGAAAAGGCACUUCUACAACAUUACGACCAAGACCCAUUUUACCACCUAGUUCUUGUCAUUUGCGACUGUCCAACAAUUUACUCCAUCAUAUGACAACAUUCAUGUAGCCAAGAUUCAAUUUACCACAUCCAUUAAACCAACUAUUCGGUAUUUUAAGUGUGAUAUCUGUCAUUUUUCGAAGUAUAACCAAAGUACUUUUUCUCCGAAUUGAUCCGAAUGUCUUAUUCAUUCUGAUGUUUGGCGACCAUUCCAUGUUCUAGUAUUUCUUGUGUGAGAUUGUUUGUUUCCUUUAUUGAUGAUUGUUUUCAAGUAACUUGAAUUUUCUUGAAAAACAAUAAAUCAAAAGCAUCACAAUUGUUUAUUCAAUUUUAUAACAUGACACAGGCACAAUUUGGGAAAGAUAUUAAAAUAAUAUGUCGACACAAUGGUAAAUAACAUGUCAAUCAUAACAUUUCCAACUUUAUCAGUAAAAAGAGCAUCAUUCAUGAAUUUACACAUGUUGACAUCCGUCAAAAAAAUGGUUUCGCAAAAUUAAAAAAAUGAUCAUUUAUUUGAAGUUGCUCGAGCUCUUUUCUUUCAUGAAAAUAUGUCUUACUUCACUCGUCCUCAACCUCAUGUGGAGGGUAUGUGUGCUCCGACUUUGAGUUCCUAAACCCUGGUCAUAGCUUCCCUAAAACACCUGUCUCAGUUCCUUUUCUUUGUCCAAUUUUUUAACUACUGAAGGUGAGUUUGUGUGUUCCUAUUCCAAGUUUCCUUCUCCAGUCCAAUUCCCUUUAUCACUCUCUAACCUGAAACUAAAAACUCAUUUUCCAAAGGAAAAAUUCCCUUCCCCAGUUCGACUUCCAAUUCAAACUUUUUUCCACCCUACCAUCUCUUUCCAAACACACAAAUCCACUACUUUGACCUCUAGUUGUGUAAUGAGAAAUAAUCUCUCAACUAUUCUUGAUUGCUUAUAAUCCAUAUUAGUUAACAUUAAAUACAAUACUAUUUCAUUAAAGAAAUUAAUGUUUUAAGUCAAAUUUGGUUGAGACACAGAUACAUGCAAUCAGAACCUAACACUAAUAGGCUAAUAGCACACAAAUUAGUUGCAAAAUGGAUCAAUGUGGUAAUGACAUCGUAAACAAAUAAAAAUAGGUAAGCAAAUACUAGAUACUUUUCUAUGACCAUUAAAAUUUUAGUUCAAGCCACUAAUUCUAGCGGUUGCAAGUUGGAAGCAAAUAAAAUGACAAGUACCGAGAAGCCACUUAUAUUAAGGGACGACGGGAGUACAUUGGAGCAUCAUAAAUGGCAAGUUUACAUGUUGCAGAGGCUCUUGGGCAUGAGCAUAGUUUUCCUUUUAUUUUGAAACAUAUAUUCCAUAUUGUCAUGGUUUGUAAAACUCUCGCAUUCUUCAAGAUAUACCUUGCUAGCAGAAGCUCACCUUCUUGACCACCGUAGUAGUUGAAAAUAUUGCAAGUUGUAAGGUGUAAUGAAAGGCACUGCGGAACAAAAUCUCGGUCCACCCAAUUUUCUAAGUCACAUUCUCCAGCCCUUACGUCCUCGAGUGCGUUGACCUGUUAAUGAUGCACACAAAAAACAUAAAGAUGUGUGUUUAGACACUGAGUGAGACGAGGAAAUUUCUCACCUUAUCCUUUGUAGGGUUGAGUUAGGGUCAACCCAAUUUCUAGUAGUGUGCUAUAAAAAGAUAAAUCAUAUAAAAAUUAACAAACCUGAUCAAGUUCAAGCCUUUGAAGCUUAGGGCAAUGGUUGAGAACGUCGACUAAGGAUUGCCAACUAUCCAAAGAAAUAAGCACCAGUUGGGUCAAAUUAUUAAAAGUAGGAAACAAACCAUCAUAGUACUCCACCUAGAACAUGAAGAAAGAUUCAUUGUUAGAAGUCAGAGUAAAAUUUUCACAUUUACAUUAUACAGUUAAAUUAGAAAUAAAUAACAAAUUAAUUAAGCACAUAAUUUACCUCUUUCAAGUAAAGCGAUUCAACACUACAAAAGGGUUCCAAAGGAAAAUCUUCAGAUAUGUCUGAAAGUUUUGCCCUAACCAACUUGGGUAAACAUUCAAGCACUCGAUCAGGGGAAGUUGACAUGUUUAUGCUAGCGUAAAUAUAUAAAAUUUCAGCUUCAAAAUCCUCAAGUACUGGACAACCACUAAAAAGUUUAAAAACAAACCAACGAUGAUCAAAAUCAACGUGGUAUAAAUGUAGGGUUUUGAGCAAGGGAAAGUCAACAUGAGAAGCGGUAGAUAUGGUUAAGUCUUUCAAUUUGAGAACCACAAGGUUUCUAAAACUAAAAAUGCAAGGCGGCAAAUAAUGGUCAAUGAUAAAAUCGAAUUCAAGAUGCACCAAUUUACGUUCUGCUGCACCGGUUAACCAUGACUCAAUAUCAUAGUCCAACAGAGAAACUUUUUCAAGAUGAUGGGAAUCGUAACUCCCUACACUUAGGCACAACUUUUUGAUGGGUUGGUUCACACUUCGUUUGAAAAUGGCUGCAAAUACCAACUUUGGAAACAGUGAUACAGAAUAAUGUGGGAACAUGCGGUAUUCAUGAAGAUCAAGAGUGGGAACUAAGAGCCAGAGGGGAUUCCAUCUUUUUGAAAGGAGGCUUGUGGUAAAAGCAUCUUCUGUUUCGAGAAAUGAGAGAAUGUGACAUAUGAUUUCAUCUGACAAUGAGCUGAUUCGAUCUUCCUCCAUCUGCAUUUCAAAAUUCAAGAUGUGAUCAACAAAAAAGUGCUUGAAACUCCAGAUUUAACUUUCUUUACUAAUUUCAAGUGUUUAUCAAUUUUCUAUAAGAAAUGAAUUUCCGAUUUCCUCGAAUGAAAAGCUCGUGAUCUGAUCUAAAACCUACAACUCACAAAUUAGAAUCAUGAAACUCACAAGUGAAGUUCAUUGUGAGUUAGAGGUUCUAGGUUCAAUCCUGAACGAAUAAGUAAAUAUUCAUAUAACAACCAACAUUUGUCAUUCAAAAAAUCUAUGAAGCACAUAUACUCCUCAGAUUAUCCUGUGUCGGAUACUAUCGUGUCCAACUCAGACACUCCAACACAUACGAAGCACCGAUACUCCUCAGAUUAAGCGUGUCCUUUGUCGGAUACUAUCAUGUCCGACUCAGACACUCCAACACAUAUAAAUACAUUGAAUUAUGUCAUUUUUUUCAAAUUAUUAUUGGUGUGGAGGUGUAUGUGUCCGUGUCAUGUCCGAUGUUUGUGCUUCAUAGCCAAAAAAAAUCAUAAAAAAUAAGAAAUUCAUAAUCAAAUUCAGUAGAAUAAGAAUGAAAAGAAUCUAAAACCUAAAACUCAUAAAUUAGAAUCAUGAAACUCACGAAUCAGAGCGUAGGAGACCACAAUAUUAAGCGUGAGAAAACAACUUCGAUCUGAGCGAAGAUCAGCUUGAAGCUUGCGGUGGUGCAGGAGAAGCGGAUCGCCGUGUGCGGGGGAACGGUGGUGACGUUCAAAAACAUAGAGAAGUUCUCACUUGUAGGGUGUUCGCGUUGCAGUUUGGUUCGGUUUUGAGCAUAAAAGUCAUCCAACUACGAGAUAAAAAAGCACCUGGUUUGGUUUGGUUCGGUUGAUUUUUAAAAAGUCCUCCAAACCAAACCAAAUCAAUGCGGCUUGGAUUAGUUCGGUUGGUGCGGUUUAUCGCAAGUUAAAAAAAUAUUACAUUAACUCUAAUAUUGCCAACUUAUUACAAAAUAAACAUAGGACAUUUUAUUUUGUUGUUUACAUGAUAAAAUAUGACUAUACAAUUAUACAUGAAUUGCAUAGAUCCUAAACUUUUAUUUUCAAUUUCUGCUUUAAUAUGUCAUGUAUUACCAGUGUCAUAAACUCGCAGAACAUACCACCAAAGUUACAUGGAUAGCUCCAUCAUCCAAAAAUAACAUUUCAGUACCAAACAAUUUUAGAUAUCCUUAUAGCAUAACAUUUCAGUACUCAACAAUUUUAAAUAUCCAAAAAAAGACCUUGAAGCUCCAAAAUAACAUUACAAUUUACAAUACCAAUAAAAGUUAUCUAUUCAAAAUAACAUCAUAACCAAAAUAACAUUUAAGAACCAAAAAAAGUUAUUCUUACGGUUUGGUUCGAUUUUUGAGAUGCAAACUGCAAACCGCGCGGUUUAGUGCAAAAGUCAUCUGAAUUCAUCCAAACCAAGUGCGGUUUUUUGCGGUUUUGAUUUGGAUUGGUUUGAUUUGUGGUUUUUCUAUUGGGUUGGUUCGAUUUUGAACACCCCUACUCACUUGUGGAAGUAACGUAUAUUUUCAAUAUUUAUUUAUGAUAGUAUUUGAGAAAAUUAUGAAUAUUUUCAUUUUCAAUAUUCAUAAUUGUACAUUAAUUCAUAGGUAGACUAAUAAAAUUUCUUUCAAAAAAGGUAGACUAAUAAAAUGUUAGACCCACUCUAAUGCCAAUUUUGGUGGACAAGUCCUGCCUUAGAACGGGGCCUCCGUCCUCUCGGAUUAGUCAAUCUUUGAAUUGAAUACCUAGUUAAAAAAAAAAUAAAAAAAUUAGACGACCAAAUUGUUCUUUUUUACUAAUGUUAGACCCAAUGGGUUAACAGGUACUCGUUCGUUUUAAUCUUAGGUCAUUUAAGAUUGAGGCGCACUUUCACUAAAAUAAAAAUAGGGAUUGAUUUAAAAUAUUAAUAGAGUUGGAAAUCAAUUUGAAAAUAACUUAUAAAUAUAGAAACUAAUUUGAUGGUUUAUCCUAAACAAAUAAUUGAGACAGAUAAACUUAGAUCAGGAUACAAAAGAUAAAUUAUGUAUUUGUUUUUUGGUUUUCUGUGGAACCAAAGUUUUUGGGACAAACAUUAAGACAAACUUAGCAAAACUAUGCGCAAAAACGCAUACAAGGUUAUGUCAUAAUUUCCUAAUUUUAACAUAUGAAGCUGUAAUACAAAGGCAAGGCCUGACGUAAAAAUAUGAGCUUGUGUUUUGUUUUCCUAAACCAAACUUAAUACUUUCAAUUUAACAAGACAAAUAGUAUAGGAAUUGAUGAGAACAUGAUAUGAAUAAAAGUUUACAUACAAAUAACUGAUCAAAUUAAGUGUCAGUAAAUCAAUCAUAGUUUUUAAACAUUUCCAUUUGCCAUAUUUUAUGUUUCCAGAAUCUUGCAUAAUCAUCAGUUGUAGGAACAUUCAUUCAUACAAUUCCAGGCCCUGAAUAUUAUUGGCUUAAAAAUGAAAACAAAAAUGAAAAUGAAAACAAGAUAACGGUUGAAAAGACAUGGAUUAAUGAGGACAAGAUCAACUUGAACCAUCAUCAUUAACUACAUCUAAAGGACGGGCUAGACAACUAGGGUACUUAAAGGGGAGAGUUGUCAAAGGACCGUCAUCGGAGUGUCCUAGAAUUGCCAAACCUAAUGUGUAUCCAAGGGCAAGGGCAACAGGAACAGCAACUGCGUUUCCAACUUGCAUGUACCUGCACAUUAAAGAUGGAACUAUUGAGUGCCAUGCUAUACAUAAUAAUGGAAAGAAGACAAAAAGUUAUACAAAGAUAGAAAAUGUUACUGACUAAACUCAAACUAUAACUACUUUAGUCUUCUACAUUUAGCAAUCUUUCUAACCAUAUUAUUAGUCCAAUAAGAAAUAUUACACCUAAAAAUUCUGGACUGAUCCCUAAGAAGAGUUAUUGAGCAAUUGUUGUGCAAUUUAGUAAUAAAUAUGGAAGUUAAUUAUAAUAGGUUAAUCAGUUUUUGGUUAAGGAAUUGGAAGGAACAUAUUCCAAUUUCAAAAUGGAAGGAAGACUGAACAUUCAGCCGUCCUUGUCUUUAAACUUCAUGUCAUAAAAUAUUGUGUGUAUUAUCUUAAAUCAUAAAUAUAUGAACUUUGUGUAUACAAUUCUACAGAAGUUUUCUAACAUCAAAAUUCUGUUUAUAUCCUUCAUUAAUUAACUCCAGAUAAGAUACCAGUUCGAACACAUACCUCUGUUUGACAGGGCCACAAAGCUUAUAGCAGUCUGGAAAUCCUUGUAGCCUUGCAUUCUCUCGAAUGCUAAGAACUCUGUCUUGGUCUGGAUGGAGAAGAGCCUAGAAAUGAAAUAACUUAGGAUUGAGAAAAUGCAUAAUCAUAAAUGAAAAAGAAAACGAUCGAAAUAAGUACUUCCACUUAUAUAACAAGUCCAAACAAAGAACAUGGUCAGAUGAGUUUAAUUGAAAAAAUGCUAGCAUGCUCAUCCUAAGGUUGAUAACAUUUCUCAAAUACAACAUUGUUUUAAAGAGGUUUUGCAAUGGGAGGAUAACAUAAGUGGCAUUAGUUUUACAAAAUAUAAUGUACACAACUUCAAAUAACAACCUGAUUAUGAGGCUCGGCCCUUGUUACAACCGUGGACACAAUUUCGUCCCACCAAAGUCGACCAAAUGGCCUGUUGUAUUCAGCAGAUACAUAAGAACUUUGAUAUAGAUGAAAUAAACAUAAAAUAUGAUGACAAAAAAUUGAUGUACAUAUAUACAUACUUAGAGGAGGUCCCGCGAACAAAUGUCAUAGCAUAAUCUGGAACCUAUGUGGAAAAAAAAGGUUGUGGUCAACAAAGAAAUAACUUCAAAAUAAAUGUGUCCCUAAGACAAGACAGGAUUAGUACCAAGGGCUUCCCAGAUUUUAGAUACACUCUUUUAAAAGACGGGUCCCAUUCCACCUUAUUUUCUUUAACAAGAACACCCUUGAGGUCCCUGAAGUUUGCCCCCUAAAAAGGCAAGCAAGCACAAUUAGAAUUUACAUGGAGCAACAAAGAUAAAAUAACAGUACAUAAUAUCAAUUAAAGAUAGGGAACCUUCUCCUUUGGAAUGUGGCAAACUCUCUCAUAGUCAUCGGUAUUUAAUUUCAAAGGCCUAUGAUCAUACAGCAUACCACUUGGUGCACUUUGAGAGUCAGCCAAAUAAUUCACCAUCUCUGGAGUAGAAAACAUAAGAUUCAAAACCAGUUCAGGUUAAUGAUGAAGGAAGCAAGACAAAUUUUCUAACCACGUGACAUGUAACAACAUGCAAUGACCACAUACACAAUCCUAGUUAUAAAAAAGACCAGAGUAAGACAAAAUGCGGCCAGUACAUUUUAGCUGAUAAAUAGAGAUUGUAUGAAUCUUACUCUAAGUGAGCUUGAUAUUUAAUUUAAACACAUUGAAAUAUGAAACAUUCAUUCAUAAAAAAACCGCUGACAUCUUUCAUUGCAAUGACAGAGUACCAAAAAAGAAAACAACCAAGAAUAAUUCAAAACUCAAAUCAAUACAAAACAUACCACUUCUCUUUAAUCUGAUAUAUUUUUGAAAAUCAGUACGAGGAGUAGUCCCGUAGCUCUUUUCAUCAUCGCUAUUAUCAUUUUCAACCUGUUUGAUAGAAGAAAACCAAGGAAAGAAAUGGAAUCAAAAUUUUAUAAGAAUCAAACAAACUAUAUUAAGAAUGUAUCUGUGAGCAAAAACAACAUACCGGUGGGAGAUCAUCAAUUGUGUCCCCAAGGUAUAAUGCCUUGGCCAGCUGACACUUUUCAUUAGUGGAAUAUGCAACUGUUAUUGCCUGCAUUAUGAAAGUACCCAGAUCACAUUGAUUAGAACUUUACAAUCACAACAUGGGUUCCUUAUCUAAGAAAAGGGCACAAACAUCUCUAUUUCUAUCAUUUCUUACUUCAAACUCAAUAGGGAUGACGGAUCUGGAUUCAACCUCAUGAGUUGGUAACGGAUACGAGGGUAAUUUCUACAAACAGAAAAGUCGAUAAAUCAUUAGCCUUCCAUUUUAAAACAUUUAGAGAGUAACUUAAAUAACACAACAAAUUAAAAAUCUAGUACUAAGCAACAGCCUUACUUCAGUAGUUAGAGCUCCCCAAAGAAAAACACGCAUCCGAAAUUGAGGGAGGCCAUAUGACCCUGCAGCCAUCAUUCCCAUACGAGCUUGGUAAUUCAUUGCCACUAGACGGCCUACAGCAUAACGCCCCAGAAAUCCUCCGGCAAAUUUCAAGAUGUCAACAACAUUCUCCAUCAGAACAUACUUAGGCUUCAAGAAAUUGAUAAUGUCCAUGUAAACAAUUAAUUGCUUAUUUUUUUCAUCAUCCAAUGGAGCGUUUUUGUUCCUGAAGCGAUUGAAACCACUAACACCUUGACAAGGUGGCCCACCACAAAUAAAAUCGGCUUGGCCCUGGACAAGCAUAAAGUAGUGCAGAUAAUUUUAAUGAAUAACAGAGAGUUGAUAAACCAUUAGAGGUGAAAGAAGCGGUUGAGUACAAGUCAAUAAUGAGGAGUGGUGAGACUUACAGGAAGAGGCAAUAUCUUUUCCUUAUAUCCAUUUAUGACAAAAUCUUUCAUAGCAUCUUUACACUCGCUGUUAAACAAUAAUCACAGUUGGAAUCUAGCAUACAAUUAACUAUAAGCCUAAAUUAACAGCAAAUCUUAAGUGAAGCAAUGUUUGAGGAACAAUAAUCAAUAUCUUGAUAAUUGGAAUAUACCUCAAGCCCUCAAUGGGCUCCCAUGUAUCAUAACUGGAAUCGUAACCCUUCCACUGCACCUGAAAGAUUAUAAAUUUAUAGCAUAAAAAAUAAUGACCACUAGCUGAAAAAUUAAUUGCAUAAGAUAAAGUUAUAAGGCAAGAAAACCUACUCUGAAAUAUAGUCCUGGUUUUUCAUCUUCGUUGGGAUCGCCAUAGCAAAUAGAGAGUAGUCUUUCAACCUCAAAUACCUCAGAGUCAGGUGAAUUAUUUGUAGCUUCACCAUCAGCUUCUUCACCAGCUUCUUCACCAGCAUUCAAAUCAGAAUCUGUGCUUUCUGCUCCAUUUAGCACAAAUUUCUCACAGAGUUUAGCCCACUCUUUCAGCAGACUUAAAAAGUCUUCUGUGGGUUCAUUCCUCACCUGAAUUUGACAUUUUGGAAAGCAAUAUAUGCAUGUUAAUAAGAAUAAUAAUGAACUGUGAAAAAAGUUACAAUGACUAGUAGUUAACUACAGAAUAACACCAAAACGUACAUGAGUUUCUGGAUGAUUCAGCUUGAGACUCUCACAUGCAUGGUCAUUUAUAUCCACGGCCCAUCUCUUGAAGUCAAAAACAACAUUAUAAAAUUAGUAAAGAUAUUCUGUACAAGCAAAGUUAAAAUGAACCAAAGAAACAUUAUGCAAAUUAGUCUAAAUACCGUGACAAGCUUAAUGCCAGAAAUAGAUGCUCCAAAGCAAAGGCCAGUGGACAUAGCUCCACACCCAGAAUACAAAUCCAGUAAAGUCCACUCAGGCCUAUUACAUUCUUUAAUUUGACUUGAUUUUUCUUUAACCGCAUUUUUAUCAGCUGCAUGGACAUUGUACCCAGAUUCACUUGAAAGUGUUGAAGUCUCACUUUCUAUUUUGGCAGGUGAUGUAUCAAUCAGGGUAAACCACAAUCAACAUAAAAAAAAGUUUAGCAAAGUUACAUGCAAGAAACUUAAACAAAUCAUCAUAAUUAAAUUAUGAAAUCAUACCAUUGCCAACAUUUGAGAACGUUAAAUAUGGCACAGUGUACUUCAUGUCAAAAUAGAAUUCACAAGGAGGAAUUUUCUUCUUUUUUGCAGCCUGUAGUGUAUAAAAUCAACAUAUUUCAAAACUCUGAACAUUAUAAUGCAAUUAUACAACAAAAGAACUACAUGAAGCACUUACAUCAGGAGAAAUUUGUACAAUGUUAACUUUCCUAACUAAACAAUCUAAAGGAUUUUCAUCUUUUACAUCAGAUAUGAAAAUCCUCUUUUUGUCAACCAGAUUCCCAUGGUCCUUAAUCACCUGCACACACAUUCAAAUCACCAAAAUCAACAAUAACCCUAAACAGCUAAACAAACCAAAACACGAAAGAGUUACAAUUCAAUCUUUACUGUGUCUUCGGCUCUGUAAAACCAUUGGGCAGUAAAAUAUUGUUCUUCAUCAGGAGUUUCAAACAUCUCCACAAUCCUAGCAAUGUAAUCCUCCUUUCCUUCCUCCCCCUAAACAACAUUCAUCACAUCAACACAGUAAGAUCAAAACUCAAAUGAAUUGAAAUCAAUAAAUAAAAUGUUUUAACAUAACAUAAAGAAAUGAACCCUAAAACACAUUCUUCAACAUGAAAUCAUAUAUAAAAUAAAAACACAGUUUUCAACAUUGAAUCAGAGAAAUAAACCAUAAAAACCAAAUAUUCCACAAGAAAUGAACCAUAAAACACACAAUUUUAAGCAAGAAAUCAUGUCAAAGAAAAAUUUAAUUUCCAACAAGAAGAAAUAAACCCUAAAAAACAAAAUUUUGAACAUAAAAUCAAACAAAAUAACAUAAUACACAAUUUUCAACAUGCAAUCAAAGAAAUAAACCCUAAAACACCAAAAUUUCAACAUGAAAUAAAGUAAAAUAAAACAAAAGCACAAAUUUAUCAACAUUUAAUAAAAUAAAAUAGAAACCUUGACAUAAGCAUUAUCCUCCAGCUUAUAUAAAAUCCCAUCAACCUUCGCUUCAUGAUAGUGAAACUUCGCCUUCAAACUUUCACCCUCACUCAAUUCACUACAAAACACAAUCAUAAUUCAUAUAGCAGUAAAUUUCAAAUCUUGCAUUAACACAACAAAAAAAAAAAAAAUCAAAAAAAAAAAAAAUCAAAAUAACUCACUCGUUCUUGGUGUACCGGUGAGGCCAUUUCUUUUGUGCUUCAUCAGCCGGAAUAGGUUCUCCGACGAAACAUGCAUCAUCGGAGUUAACCGAAGAUUGCUUCGAUUUCUUUCUUCUAGAAGGAAGAAGCGAAACCAGUUCUUCUUCAACUGGAGAUUGUUUAGCUUUCUUCCGUUUAGAAGAAUGAGGAACAACGUCGUCUUGAUUGGAAGAUUUGCGAACGCGUUUUUGAGGCAUUGUUAAGGUGAAUGAGAGAAUAAGCGCUUAUUUUUUGUUAGGAGAAGAGAGAAGAAGGUGAAGAAAAAAGCGAUUAUUUAUAUAUGAAGCGGGAAAAUGAAUCAAUAUUGCGCUUACAAUUUUCGCUACUUUUCUUCAUUUCCCGCACUUGUUGAACCCGCUCAGUGUAAAUGGAAUUUGUUAAAGGGAGUGUUUGGUAACACCAAAAAAAGAGCUUAUAGCUUAUAGCUUAUAAGCUCGUCUGACAAAAAAAGCUCUGUUUGGUAACGCUUUUUUACAACGAGCUUAUAGCUUAUUUCAGAAGCUUAUAAGCUAUUUUUCAGAAGCUACUUCAAGUAGCGUUUGAGCUUAUAGCUUAUAGCUUAUCAUGUUUUCUUCCAUUUUUAUCCUUAUUGAUUUAUCUAAAACCCAUUUAUACCCCUUUAUAAUUUAUUAAAUGUUACGUUUAUAUAUAGGCAAAUUCUAUGGUACACCCAACAAUUUGAGUGUACCGGUACACCAAAUUAUUAAAUCAAUAAUUAAACGAGUUGUUUUUUUUUGAAGAAAAAUAAUUGUUUUCUAUCAUUGACAAUUACAAUAAUUAAAUCGUAUUUACCAAAAGCGUUGAAGAAAUAAAAUUUACUUUUUUUGAAUUUUUAUUACCUAUAACAAAGAAUAUUGAUUAUUUUUUAUGAGAAAAUGUUGAAAAUUUAAUAUAAUUCUUAUAAACAAUGAAAUAAUGUUUUUUCUUAUAAAAUGAUGUUUUCUAAAAUAUAAAUAUCGAUAAAUAACUCUUUAUUUCAUAAAAUAAUCCUUAAAUUAUAAAUUUUUGGAGUAGGAGUACCGGUACAUCUCAAUUUAUGUGGUGUACCGUAGAAGUCCCCUUAUAUAUAUGAAAGAUGUCACAUUUAUAUAUUUUUUUUGAAGUAAUGUUACAUUUAUAUUUUUUUUAAUGACGUUAAGUUUAUAUUUUUUUAAAUAAACGUUACGUUUAUAUAUUUUUUUUAACGUUGCGGUUAUAUUUUGUUACGUGCUUUUAUAUAAUAUUGUUUCUAUUGUGCUUUUUCUUUAAUCAUUUUUUUUUGUGCUGUUUUUAUAUAUAUUGUCUAAUAAUACAUAUACCGUUACGCAUUUUUCUUACAAAAGAAAAAACAUAUAUUGUUUCGCUUCUUUUUAAGGGACAUUUUUUUUUUUGAAACAUAUAUAUACAUUGUUAGUUAAAUUUAACAUUUUUUUUAUAGUUUAUAGUUUAUAAUUUAUUCUUAGAUUUAUAAUUUAAUAUGGAUAGAUAGCAACAUAUUUUAUUUUUCUUGAAAAAAAGAAACAUAUUUUAUUCUUAGAUUUCUUUGUUAGCUAAGACUUAAAUGAAUAUAAGUUUAAAAUAAAAUUUCAGUGGAAAAUAAUUAAUUUAACAAUAGUAUAUAAAAUAUAUACAUACAUAUAAUAUAUAUAUAUAUAUAUAUAUAUAUAUAUAUAUAUUAAAAUAAUAAAUUAGAAUUACUAAAUUUUAAGUAUUCUAAUUUUUUGUAAAGAAAAUAUUUUAAAUAUCAAUUGAUAUAAAUUUUAUUAUGAAUGUCCUUUUAUGUCAUUUUACGUUUAUCAGCUAGAUGAAACACUAGUUUUACCAAACAGUUCAAUUAGCUUAUCAGCUAUCAGUCAUCAGCUAUAAGCUAUAAGCUAUAAGCUAGCUUAUCAGCUAUCCGCUGUUUUUACCAAACAGCCUAAAUGUUGUUUACUUUUGACACUAUUUAUGGAGUGAAGUAAUUUCCCACUCCUACAUCUAUAGUAGAAAAGCGAGUUCAAAAUUUCGACUCGGCCCACCAAAAAUAGCGGGCGAAACAGAUCGGUCCGGCGGGUUGGGCCUGUUUUGCCACCCCUAUUGAUUGUGCACUUAUUUAAUAAAUAAUCUUUGAUAUUAAAAUACUUCAUUAAUAUUGUCACAUCAGUCCUUCAAUAUACUUAUUUAAUGUCAUAUCAGCAUUUGUAUGUACUUGCUUAUUGUCAAUUAAGUUUCUAUAUGGGAAAAAUUAUUGUGAGUAUUGAGAGAUUAUUUUAGCGUCAUAGACUAUUUUGACUAACAGAGUGCGUAAUAAAAGACUAUUUGAAAUUUUGAUACAUUGAUGGACUAUUGUGACUACUCAUUGUAAGGAACACGAGUAAAGAUAUUUGUAGAUGCUGAUUGUGAGACAUCAUGUUAGGUUUGCAAUCACACAUAUUGAGAGGACAAAACACAUUGAUGUGAAUUACCAUUUUCUGACAACUAAGAAGAUGAUCAAGGUAAACAAAGUGGAUACAUCAGACAAUCCAGCCGAUAAGUUUACCAAGCUGGUUCCGCAGAGUGAGUUUCAACAUUGUUUGAACUAGUUCAAUGAUAGAAGUCGUUGAUUGCCCUCAGAGGGGCAAGGCCUGAGGCAGAGCAGGCCCAUAUGAGCAUUCAAUGUAAUGCAUUUGGCACAUCUGGUAAUUCGAGUACAUCUGGUGCAUCUGAUUAUUCGGAGAGGAUUCAAGUCAAGGUGGAGAUUUGUUGAAAUAUGUCUUGAAUUAGUGUUAGAAAAAGUCUCACAUCGAAGAAUAAGAAGAAAUAUGUAAGACUUGAUCAUAUAAAUAAAGAUCUUGUGUGUUAGUAUUUCACCAAUAGUUAAUAGUUAACGAGUCUUGCUAUUGCUGAUAUUACUUCUACUAUUCAGUAUAUGUAAUCAUCGAUUAUAGUGUAAUUUUUUUCAAUGACUCUGCAUGUAGAUUAGUAAGAAUGUUGUUGGAUACUACGUUCAAUCUUGUGUCGUUUUUUAUUCUAUCUUUUACUAUUAUUAUCAUUAUUCUUACAUCCCGUUAUAACACAUGUAUAACUUCAAAAACCACACCUUUAAGUUGUGUGGUAAUUUCAAAAACCAUACCUUCGAAUUAAGAUCACAAAAAACAACUUCUUGAAGAUGGCUAAAGGUAACUAACUACAUUUAGGUUUUGUAUCAACAAUGCUAGAAAAGCUGAGAACAAAAAUGCUGCUUCGAGUUAUAAAUAAUACUGAAGAGCAACAAAUCAAAUCAAUCAGGACCGAAUGGGUAAUACUUCAAAGUUGCAAACAUGUCAUCAACAUGAGCAUUGAGUAUAAUACAAUAAAGCAAAUAUAUUCUAGUUUUUUACAGGCCAGUUAACCUUUCAUUAGCUCAACUGUUCAAUAUUUUUCUAAUAGUUCUUAAUUCCUGUUGUUUCUAUUGUUAUCCAAUGUAAUAUGAACGUUGUUUUAGGGUUCAAAAUUAUUGUUUUCGCAUUUUCAACACAUAAGUUUGUUCACAAGUUAUAAAUGAAUGAUAUUGAGCCCCAUUAGUUCGUUCCCCUACAUGGCCUGGUUGAGAUUUUUUUAAUGGACACUUCAAAAUAAUAUUAUUUAAUAAUAAUACUCUCCCGUUCUAAAAUAAUUAUUUAAUUAAGGAGGGUUUGUCGGCUAUUUGAGUCCCACAAAACUCGAAUGAUCGAUCUCCGCAAUUGCGCCGCACGCAGAUGAUACCCGAUUUAAAAAAAAAGUAAGUGUUGUUUUACUUUUACCAUGUGAUUGUCUUUUUUCCAAUUCUACUUCUAAAUUAAAAUUACUUGCACUACUUUCAAGCCAUUCUACUCGGUAUAUAUACAUGGAAAUGACUAACAACCAAUACUUUAAGGAUAAAAGGUCACACUAUUUAAUGUAUUGUACGCAACCUUACUUUAUUUUACACAAAAUGAUGUUUCCACGACCUUGAACUCAUGGUCUUUAAGCUACAUGAUAACAACUUUAUCGUUGCGACAAAUCACCCUUAACAAUCAAUACUUUUAAGGAAUAUAAUGUAAAAUUGCAACAUUGUUUAAUUUAAUUAUAGAUUUUCUUAAUCUACUUGAAAAAUUUUAUGCCGACAUUUAUUUUAAAACAAAAUUGAAAGAGUAUUAUUUAGGCCAAAUUUCACUUUUGAUCCUUUUAGUUUGACAGAAUUCUUAAGUUAGUGCUUUAAGUUUCGAAAGUUUCAAUUAAAUCCUUUUAGUUUGACAUAAUUUCCAAGUUAGUCCUUUAAGUUUCAAAAGUUUCAAGUUCUUUUAGUUGAUAAACUAUUUCUGUAACACCCCGUUUUCCCAAUAUACAAAUUUCUUAAACAUUUAUCAGAGUAAAAACCAUAAAUGGGAUAUCACAUAGUAACGUAAUCCAAAAACAGUUAAAUAAUAAUUUAACCUUCACAAAAUAUCUUAAUAUAGCAGCGGAAUAUUAGUUCAGAAGUCAUAAAUCAGUUUAGCACGUAGGCCCCGUCAAAAUAUCUCAAAUGAGUUAAAUCAACUUAACAAAACAUAAUAAUUGUUCAACAUCAUAAAACAUAAACAUGAUAGUCACGUAAGAGAAUGAAGCAUGUAUAACAUUAAACCCCAUCCCGUUACGUAUCAGAGCGACCUAGACGACACAGUGAAGGCAAGGCCAACUCACGAAAGCAAACUGCACACUAAGCACGAUCACCUGCAAGUUACCCAUACGAAGGGCAACAUUUUCAAGCAGAAGGGGUGAGAUUUCAUAAUCAAAUAACAUUAAUCAAUGUAAUUGCGAAUCAUAAAUUAACAUCAUAAUCAUUCCUUAAAUAACAUUGCAUAAUUGCUAAACAGUUAUAACAUAAUCAUAUAUCCAAUUAUCAUGAACAAAAUCACAUAAUUGAUAAACACUUAUCACGUAAUCACGUAUUCAAUCAUCAUCAACAAGGCAUCUUAAUCAUGACAAUGUGACAAUGCUCUUAGACUCCUUAUAUGCAUGUGGUACCAAUCGUCAUCAUAAGUAUUAAUAUACUUUAAUCGUGCGGAGGACAAAGCUCCUAUAAAACGUGCGGAGGACAAAGCUCCUAAUAAACGUGGUGAGGACUAAGCUCAAUGAUAUGCUAUGCAUGAACUCUUAACAACAAAACACGUAAUCAUCGUAAUCAACAUGCAUCCAAUAAUUUGGAGCUAAAUGUCAUCUUAUUCAUUACAUACAAUCAUCAUGCACUUAGUUAAAUAACAGCAGCAACAGCAUAAUCAAGUUACAUAACAGAAUGAUAUCAUUAUAUCAAUAGCAAUUCAUUUGCAUCAUAAUUAAACUUCAUAUCUUACACAAUUGCACAAUACAAUAAUCAUGUUCAAUUAAUUACAACAUGUCUUAAAGGCUUUACAGAUUGCAUUAGACUUCAUCAUUAGGUUUCGUUACCAAUUAGGGGUUCACUCUUGGUCAAAACGUGCGACACAGAUCGCACUACACUCAACAAACUACAUUCUGGGCUAACUCGCGAGGCGAGAGUUCUCACUCGCCAUGGCGAGUACCACUCAACUCCCAAAAUAAACUUGUUCUGGGUUCCCUCUGAUCCUACAUUCAUUCCUAAUAAAUACUAGGCAUGUUCAGGCACUCAAAGUCCAACUAAAAAGGUCGAAACACAAAGUAUGACAUGCUCUCUGCCUAAGCUCGCGAGGCGAGGAAGGGUUGCUCGCCAUGGCGAGUUGCACCAAACAACUCGCGAGGCGAAGGGAAAGGGCUCGCGUGGCGAGCGAUGAAGGUCAUCACUCGCGAGGCGAGGAUCAUCACUCGCCGUGGCGAGCGAUGAACAUAAGCACAGGCAGACUACGGGUUUUCUCGAAAAUCCAUCAAACAACAUGGUUCAAAGCCUAAUUUUGAUUCCAUAAUCCAUCCUAAACAUGUUCUAAGGUUAAAGGAUGGUCUCUACAUCAACCUAAACAAGUUUUACCGUUUGAUCAUCAAUUUUUAGGGUUUUGACCUAAUUCCAAAACUUUUCUAAAUCAAUCCCAACUUUGUCAAUUAAUCAUCAGAAUUACAGCAAUCAACGUUAUUGAAUUAUUAGUCUCACCCUUACCUUGUUUGAAGAAAAUCGCAGCACUCUUCCUUGGUUUCUCUAGACUUGGCUUUUUCUCCCUUUUUCUCCAAAACAGUCGUACGUACAAUGUUUUUCUAAAACUAGGUCUAACCUUUAUAUACCUCUUCUUAAUUACUUAUCUUAUCUCACUUUCUCCCCCAAAACUAUCUAAAAUAUCAAAACAGCCCUCAACUAAAUAUUUUAUAUUAUUUUCAAAUCCUUAUUUUAUUUAACAAUAAAAUAAUUCUCAUAUCCUUAUCAAAUCUUCCAAAACUCAUAACUUAUCACGUCAUCGAUCAAAUCAUCAAAACAUACCAAAAUCAUGCAUAUAUUAUAUAAUUAUAAUAUAAUCUCCUAAACUCGAUUAAAUAAACGAUUAAACGAAAGUGGGCGUUACAAUUUCACCGUUACCCCUGCUGUCAGUCUCCGUUUAACUGAUGCUGAUGUAGUCGUUAAAUUAUUGACUUGGAUCAAAAUGUUGCCUUUUAAAAGCUCCAGGGUGUCAUAACGUUACGUUUAAUGGUCACAAAUGAUCAUUUGUAGUGCUAGAAAGACAGCUAUUUAAAACAAUAAAUGUCUUUCUAGCACUAUUAAACGACAUUUAUAUUGCUAGAGUGAUCAUUAAACGUAACGUUUUGACACUCUGAAACUUUUAAAAGGCAGCGUUUUGAUCAAAGUCAACAACUUAACGACUACAUCAACAUAAUAUAAUUAUUAACUGACAAUUGGGGUAACGGUGAAAUGGUUUAUCAACUAAAAUGACCUAUUUGAAACUUUUGAAACUUAAAGGACUUAUAAGUUGGAAAUUCUGUCAAACUAAAAUGAUUUAUUUAAAACUUUUGAAACUUAAAAGACUAACUUAGAAAUUAUGUCAAACUAAAAGACCAAACGUAGUAUUAUUUGACCUAUUAUUUAAUAUUUUUUACUUUAUUUUAUUUCAUGUGUCUAUAUGAAAAUACGUGUUAAUGGGAGAUGAUUUCAUUUUCAACUAUGUAUGGCUUCACAUGCCUUAUAUUUUGCUAUUUACUUGGAAAUUUCUCAUCUAAUUGUGAAUAGGAGGCAGUAGGCACAUUCUCAACUACCCAACAAAACGGAUAAGAGACUGUCAGUUGAAAGGGUUCAUUUUAUUGAUAUUUUUUUUUCUUACUAAUAUUUUUCCUCCCUGAGAAUCCAAAAGCUUGGACAGGAACAAAUGUUACCCAUACAUGAUAAAUAUUUUGUAAAGUAAUAGUCACAAAAUUCCACGAGGCCAACAUACUACAGUGGAACUUUCAAGGAUGACCAAAAUAUCUACAUGACCACCAUCACACAUUUACACAUUUCUUAGGAGGAGAUAAGAUUUGUGGGGCAAAAUCCACAUGGCACUGUCCUAUUGGUUUAUAAUGAUAAGGCUAACACACAAAUUUCCAUUCUUGUGUGGUUAAUAUAGGUUCAAUGAUUAUCAUUUUCAAAAUCUAACAAGUUGGUAUUAGGCAGUAGCCAAUUACCACAAUAUUAAGACCAUAAUAUUGGAAAUAGAAAAAUAAAAACCAUUAUAUAUAGCAAGUUUUAGUAGAAGCUUUGCAAUUCAAGUAGAAGUGUGUUUUACUUGUGAACUAAGAAAAAAAUGGCUUCCUCUAUGAUGUCCUCUUCAGCUGUGACUACAGUUAACCGCGUCUCUUCGGUACAAUCCGGCGCGGUAGCUCCAUUCGUUGGACUUAAGUCCAUGGCUGGCUUCCCAGUUACAAAGGUCAACAAAGACAUUACCUCCAUUACAAGCAAUGGCGGAAGAGUAAACUGCAUGCAGGUGAGAAAAAACAUGCCUACUAUUUUAGUUUAUUUGAGUAUAUUAUUAGCAUAAUGGAAACAAUUUAUGACAUGCCCGUAAACUGUUUUCUUCUUAUAUUUUCAUAAGCUCUUCAGGAUAGUUUAUGAAAACAGCUUAUAGAUUAUGUGAAAAAAGUUUGACUUUCUUUUGUCAAUUGUUAUAGAAAUAACUUAUUCAUAAGCACUUAUAGAUUUGUUGGCAAAAGUACACAAGUUUGUUGACCCUUUUUUUUCAAUUUUAGGUGUGGCCUCCUAUUGGCAAGAAGAAGUUUGAGACUCUUUCAUAUCUUCCACCAUUGACCAGAGAACAAUUGGCGAAAGAAGUUGAAUACCUUAUAAGGAAGGGAUGGGUUGCUUGCUUGGAAUUCGAGACCGAGGUCUAGUUUUAAUUUAUUUUCAAUGCCUUUUCAACGAACAUAUAUAUAGUUUUGAACUUAGAUGGUUAAUCGGUUUGUCAUGGUUAAUCUACUUGCAGAAAGGAUUUGUGUACCGUGAGAACCACAGUUCACCAGGAUAUUAUGACGGACGUUACUGGACAAUGUGGAAGUUGCCUUUGUUUGGAGCAACUGAUGCUUCUCAAGUGUUGAAGGAGCUUGAUGAAGUUGUUGUUGCUUACCCUAAUGCCUUUGUCCGUAUCAUCGGAUUCGACAACGUUCGUCAAGUUCAAUGCAUCAGUUUCAUUGCACACACACCUGCGGUCUACUAAAUUUGAGUGUUAAAUCACUCUCAGCUGCCAUUGGAAGAACAUCUUUUUCUCUCAAUUUGUUCUGAUUGUAAUGUCUUCCUUUGUUUUUUGGUUUUCGCUUUCGGAUUUCAAAAUGCAAAUGUAUGGAUAAGAGUUAAUAAAUGAAAUGGUACCUUUUUCAUUCUCAAGUUAGUAGUAUAUGUUGUUUUCCUUGUAAUGGCUUGAACUUGAAACUUUAAAUAACAAAGGAACUAAUAGUAUGAUAUUAAAGAAAAAAAAAUUGCAUUUCCACCUAAUUCAUUCUCAUCUUUACCAAAAUUAUGCACAAUCAGUACAUCUUUGCAAGAAAUAUUUUUGACAGAAAUUAUGAACUGAAUAUCGCUGGCGCUCCAAAAAGCAAUCCGCGGUCUCAAACUCAUCUUCAUACGCUAAAUUUUAGGCCUUAGCUUUUACUGGUUGGGAAUUGCAAUUCCUUGCAUACCUUCAGCAUGAUUUCCAUUUAUUUUUUAUUUUCUAAUCUUCCUCAUGCAGUAACAGCCAAUUCACUCACUAUAUGGCAGCCAAUUCCAUCUUUUACGAAUGGAAAAAAUACAUUGAAAUUGACCGUCACAUUGUUAUGGAAAAAGUUUCAACCGCAGUUUUUGCAAUGUCGACUGCCUAUUUCCGCAGUCGAUCAAGUGGCAGACCUGCUCACAAAACAUCUUGAACCUACCCACUUUAAUUGUCUACUUGCCUACCUGAAAGUUCUAAAUAUACAAUACUCAUAUAUUAGUAACUAAAUGAAGGGACUAAAUUGUUAGUGCAAGAUGUGUUUCUUGCACUCCUAGGAACUAAAUGAAGGGACUAAAUUUGAAAGAAACACUAUGAGUGAAUUAUAUUGAUUAUGAAAACUGAAUGAAUGAAUACAUGGGAUACAAUUACAAGUAUUUAAAGACUUUUCUAAUUACUUGAAUCACAAGUAAACUAACAAAUACAAACCAACUUGUUAGUUACUAACCACCAACUUCUCUAACAAACUAGUUGUAACUAACUACUACUUUGUAGUUGAAUUAAUCCACAACAAUAAUACCUUAGCUAAAACUUUAGCUUAAACAAUGCAAGGCAUUCUAUAUUGGUGAUUUUAUUCAUGAGUAAAGUGGACAUAUUUCAAAAAGUAAAAGGAAAUGAUACUAAGAGCCAAAACCAGCUAUAACUUAUAGAAGUGUACAUGUUUUAAUUUUUCAAUAAAUCCUAGAAAAAGUGAGAGAUUCUUGAAGAUUAUAAAUAAUGCUGAAGAUAAAUAGAUCAGAAAUUAAUAUAACCUAAUAAACAAGACUUAAAACUUCAAGGUAACGUCUAUCCGGUAAUGGUCUUGAGCAAGUUCAGAUGGUGCGACGACAUGCACCUAUUUUUUAAGGGCACCAAUAAUCUCUUAUUAAUUUUUUAGUCCUAUGAUAAAAGACGUUGUAUGUAAAGGUUGGGGACAGUAAUCGAUUAAAUUAAGUUGUCCUGCUUUAAUUUCUAAUUUUUUUUUAAGAAUGUUUCGAGAGAUGCUAGUAUCGAACCGAGUACCACAAAGUUGAGAGGUGAUUUUCCAAUCAAGUGAUCUCUCUUUUUACUGGCAUUUUUUCUAAGAAUGUUGAUUGUGAAGUGAUGGAUGAUCAAUAAUUUUGCAGAUAUAAAUGCAAAGAUGAUAAAUUUAAAUGAUUUCGAAGAAAAAAAUUUCUCGGAUCAUAUAGAGCAUCCAAAAUCUCAAGGACAACCCUACUUCCACUAUUAAGUUCUUCUUACUUAUCAUAGUCCACCUUUCAUAACUUUGGAAAAAAAAAUAAAGGAAAAGAAUGAAGUUGUAAUUUUAUUGCAUUUUUUAUGGACCUAUACAACCAUUUUUAAGGGAGAAUAAGUGCCAUUCUUUUGGUUGUUCCAAAUGUAAGUAUCUUCCACGGUAUAAUUGAAAUUGGCGUGGAUGUGAUUUAUGUGGUCAGAGGUCGUAUGAGAUGACUGGGUAUAGAGAAUAUGCGUGUGAGGAUCAUUAGCCGAGAGAACAUAUUUAACCGUAAGCUGAAUGUCAUGAAUAUCUAUAUAAGGAACAAGAGACCCAAGAAUUCCAAGAGUUGUCCAUUGACUAAACCAAAAGGAUGAAGACCCAGACUCAGCACGCCAGACAUAUCAUGCUUUAAGAACAUUUUUAGCUUUGAUGAUGGAGGACGAAGUGGGAGAGCCGUUGGGGCUAUCAGUUGCUUGAGAGGAGGUUUGCCAGAAGAUUGAAUCACGUCCAACACUAGCUUUCCUAAAAGGCAAGUAUUCGCCUCCCUAGCUGAUCUGAUUCCAAGGCCACCAAGAGAUUUAGGACGAGAAAUCUUUUUCCAACCUACUAAAUGAAUGCUUUUAUCAUUUGUACUUCUCUAAAUGAAAUUUCUAGUUGUUUGAUCAAUGUUUUCACAAAUGGAUUGAGGAAACCAACUAAUCUGCAUGUAAUAAGAUGGAAUGGAGGAAAUAAUAGAAGAAAGAAGAGUUAAUCUAUCAGGUUUAUUCAACAAUCUAUUAUUCCAGGAUACCAAUCUUGUUUGCAUUUUCUCAAUAAUAAAAUAGAAAUUAUUCCUUUUCACCCUUCCUUUCAGAAUAGAGAAGCCUAAAUACUUAUCAGGAGAAAUAGUGCUUCUAAUUCCUGAAAUAGAUGUCAGCUUGUUAAUCUUAACUUGAGGAAUGUUUGAGAAAUAGAAAGCUCUAGACUUGGACAAAUUAAUUUUCAAUCCUGAAGCAUGACUAAAGCGGUCAAAUAAAUUAGAAAAGACUCUUAGCUGAGAAUUUCUUGCCUUAGAAAAAAGGAGGUCGCCGUCCGCAAAAAGAAGAUGGGACAACUUCGGCCCUAAGUUGGUGAUGUGGAUGGGUUCCCAGUUUCCUCGGAGGACAACGUUGUUGAUGGAAAUUGAGUGUUUUUCCAUACAAAGAAUGAAAAGAUAUGGUGAGAGUGGAUCACCUUGUAUGAGGCCAUGAGUAGGCUUGAAGGGAGACAUCUUUUUCCCAUUCGAGAGGAUAGAGAAAGUGGAGGAGGCAACGCAAUGCAUGAUAAGAUUGGUUGUGAUAGUAGAGAAACUGAAAUCUUGAAGAGUACUCUUGAGGAAGUCCCAGUUGAAAAUAUCAAAAGAUUUCUCAAGAUCAAGUUUGAAAGCAGCAGAACCUUUUUAUUUUAGACCUUCUCAUAAAAUAAAAGAUUUCCUGCAAAACAAUGGCAUUGUCAGAAGUGCUUCUGCCUGGAAGAAAGUUGCUUUGGUAGAGACCAAUAAUAAUAUCAAGAAUCGGUCUUAAAAGAUGGAGUAAGACUUUAGUGAUAAUCUUGUAGACAAUAGUGCAGAGGCUGAUCAGUUUAAAAUGUUUAUAAGUGGUGGAAGGCCGAUUUGACAAGACUAAAAAUAUCGUCCCCAACUAUAUGCCAAUAUUGUUUGAAGAAAAUGCAUUGGAAAUCAUAUGGACCCGGCGCCUUAUAAGGCUUCAUGGAAUUCAGGGAUAUAACAACCUCCUCUUUAGUGAUUAAAAAUGAUAGAGUUCUCUCGGAGGUUAUUAUCAUUAUAUAUUAAAUUCAUAUAAUGGAGGUUGUACAUAACUGAUAAAUUUGAGAGAAUAAGAAUAUGAAAAGUGGCAAAUUUUUAAGAAAGGAUGAGGAGAUUUUUUAGAGAUGCCACACAGGAACAAUAGAAGUCUAAGGUUAAUCGAAGUUUAGAAUUCAAGAUAGUAUAGAAGAUAGAUAGAUAGAUGAUAGGUAACGAUUAUUUAUGGAAUUUUUUGAAAAAUACUCUCUAGAAAAACGAAAUACUUUUUAAUUUUGACCGAAAAAAAAUAAUACUUUUUAUUUACAUUUAUUUUAUACGAUUGAGUCAAACAAAAAUUUAUUCCAUGUUUUCUCGAUAGAUGUAUAUAUAGCACAAUUGAGGUCAUAUUCAUCUCAAACAAUAAUAGUUUUAAGCAAAAGAGUAGUGCUAUAUGUCCCGAUAAGAGAUAAAGUUCUAAGCAUGCAUUUUGGCGAAAUACAAGGGUGGGUGGCCAAUGAAAUAUCGUUGUGAGACAAUCACGAUGUAUGGUCUCGUGAUACUAAGCAAUUUCCAAUUCAAAAAUGGAGGUCUCACUCUACGAUAGAGUUUCAAUCAACCCUUUUCUCGAUUAAUGCAUUUCGAUUUUAGUUCAAAAUUAUUUGUUGUAGUCUUGAAUUGAUUUUUAAUUUUUUUUCUUCAGGUUUUACAUCAAAAAAUCUCACGGCGUUCGCUUCCUCCUCACUAGCUGAAAAGAAGAAGGUUAUGUUCAUAACGGGUACAAUUAACACUUGAAAAACUAUACUUUUCAUCUACUUAGGUACUCAUUUCCACUAUGAAACCAUCAAUUCAAAUAAAAUUCAAAUUUAUUAAGAUCUUGACUUGACACCAACUUGGUACCAUAAUUUGAACGUUGUUCGAUUUCACAUCACAUAUUAUGCAUCAUCAAUGAUACAUAUAUGAUUUCCCUAUGAUUAAUUUUUGCAAACACAUGCCUGAAACUCUAUAUUCAUAGCUGAAAAAUGGACAUCUAACCAUUAUUGUAGGAGGGUCACGUUCUUACAUUGAAAUAUUAGUUGAUGACCCAAUCAUUGAAUUUUGUUCAAAAUGUUAUUGUUGUUUCAAAAAUCAAUCACAAUGAAAUCAUAAUCCUAAUUAUUGCUGACGCCUAAUAUGUGAUGUCGAAUCGAACAAUGUUCAUACUCUAAUACCUUGUUGGCGAAAGGUCAAGACCCGUAUAGACUUGAAUUUUAUCUGAGUUGAUGAUUUCAAAGAGGAAUCAAGUACUUAGGUAGAUGAAAAAAAUUAUUUUUUCCAAUUCCAAUUGCUUUCGUUAUGAACAAAACCUUGUUCUUUUCGGCUAGUAUAUUGAGGAAAAAAAAGACAAGAUUUAUUUUAUUUUAUUUUUUAUGUAUAACCUAAGGAAAAGACAAUAAUACAAAUAAGGCUUAGACACACUUUUGACCCCCUAACUUUAAACUAGUUGCAAUCUUGACCCCCUAUUAAAAAAAAAACACAUUUCAGUCCCCUAAGUUUCCCCCUUUUUGCAACUUUCAAUUUUGAUCAUUCAAACUCAACCAUUUAGGACAAUAAAAAUAAGCGGGGUAUUUUGUUUAGCAAGUUUCAGGCGAUCUUGACCUUCUACCAUCUUGAAUGGUUGAUUUUUAAUGAUCAAAAUUAAAAGUUGUAAAAAGGGAAAACUUAAGGGACUCAAAUGUGUUUUUUUUUAAUAAGGGGACAUAAUUGCAACUAAUGUAAAGUUAGGGAGGCAAAAGUGCGUUUAAGUCUAAAAAUAAUUUAAAUAUACAACAAAUGAUUUUGAACUAGAAUUGAAAUGGAUUAAUCUUAUGCAUGUUGUCAAUAAGGAUACUAUGUAUAUGAAGAAGAGAAUCAAUUGAAACUUUAUUUGUGCUAUGUAUAAUGAUGUAUGAUAUAUGGAGAGAGGGACCACUAUAGGCGAGUUUGGAAUCAAUUUUGCAGAAGGUUCAUGGAGGGCGGGUUUAUCGUUGUAGGCGUGGUAGAGGUCUUAGGACUAUCCCGUAGUUUUAUGGUCUUGUAAUAGUAUUUUGAACAAAUUUGAUGUUUUUAAUUUGAUGUUUAAAUAUUUGUUUUGUAUCCUACAAAUAUUUUGUUUUUAAUAUUAUUUUUGAAAAUUGUGUUGUUUCUUAUCUUUUCAUUAUAAUAUUUUAUUUAUUCACAAAUGCAUGUUUAUAUCAAAUGAUUAUGUAAUCUGUAUGUAUUAGAGUGAAAACAAACUCUAUUUCUAUUCUAAUACCUUUCGGAUUAUAUAAUUCGAACAUUUUUAUGACAUUCAGAUUAUAUAAUCUUAAAUAUGCGUUUUUUUACACCACAAUUUCCCCUUCUGGGGUGUUUGCUGCAUUUUUCUAAGAAUGUUGAUUGUGAAGUGAUGGAUGAUCAAUAAUUUUGCAGAUAUAAAUGCAAAGAUGAUAAAUUUAAAUGAUUACGAAGAAAAGAAAAAAAAAAUCUCAGAUCAUAUAGAGCAUCCAAAAUCUCAAGGGAAACCCUACCUCCACUAUUAAGUUCUUCUUACUUUUCAUAUUCCACCUUUGAUAACCUAGGAAAUAAAAUAAAGGAAAAGAAUGAAGUUGUAAUUUUAUUGCAUUUUUUCUGGACCUAUACAACCACUAUAUGCUCACGUUCCUACUUAGAAAUUAAAAUUAAAUUGUUCUAAUUCAAUGUUAUAAUCAGAAAACUAGCUUUGAAGGAAGGAAAUGUCUUACUCGAUAUGACUUUGUCCACCGAAACUGACAUCAAGGGGGGAUCGAACGUGAAACUUUGAGAGAAACAAAUUCCAAGAUCACAAAUUAACCACAAGGUCAACCCCAAAUGAGUUUUUUUGGUUACCAUUAGAAAACCGUGUAUAUUUUAACAUAAUUUGGAUGAUUAAUUAUGUGUAGUAUAUGUGUAUUUAAACACUUAAAAAUGAUGGCUAAUUGUAUUCAUUUAAUGAUUAAUAGAUUGCUACCAAAUAUAAUUAACCACAUCUUUGCAGUUUGUUACACCCAAAAAACUAACCACAUAUUUGAACCAUGUUAACCAUCUAAUUGAUGUCAAAUUUGUUUGUCAAAGUAAUACAACUCAUCAUCGAUUUGUGAGUCUUGACAUUUUCUACAAAUAAAUGUAUACACAAACCGAUUGCUAUAAAUAUGAUACACUUAUUCUUUAUCCCUAUGAGGAGCCAAAGCCUGAAAAAAAAACUAGUACCAUACACGAUUGAUAUUUUUAGUUUUUUGGUCAAGUGGUUUAUAUUUAUGGAAGCAUUAAUAGUCACACAACUACACGUGGCAAUUUCAUAUUGGUGGCUAAAGAUAAGGCACCACAAAAAUUUCCAAUCUUGUUGUGUGGUUAAUGGCUGCAAUGUUUAUCAUUUUCACAAUCAAACAAAAUUGUAUUAUGCAGCAACCAGUUACCACAAUUUUUAGAACCAUAAUAUUGGAAAUACAAAAAUAAAGACAUUAUAUAUAGCAAGUUUGAGUAUAGGCUUUGAAAUUCAAGCAGAAGUAUAUCUUACAUUACUAGUGAACUAAGUAAGGGAGAAAAAAAAUGGCUUCCUCUAUGAUUUCCUCUUCAGCUAUGACUACAGUUAACCGCGCCUCUUCGGUACAAUCCGGCGCGGUGGCUCCAUUCGUUGGACUCAAGUCCAUGGCUGGCUUCCCAGUUACAAAGGUCAACAAGGACAUUACCUCUAUUACAAGCAAUGGUGGAAGAGUAAACUGCAUGCAGGUGAGAAAAAUAAUAGGCCUACUAUUUUAGUUUAUUAUUAGCAUAAUGGAAACAAUUUAUGACAUGUCUGUAAACUGUUUUCAUCUUAUAUUUUCAUAAGCUCUUCAGGAUAGUAGGAUAGUUUAUGAAAACAGCUUAUAGAUUAUAUGAAAAUAGCUUAUAGAUUCAUUGAGAAAUGCACACAAGUUUGUUAACCCUUUUGUUCAAUUUUAGGUGUGGCCUCCUAUUGGCAAGAAGAAGUUUGAGACACUUUCAUACCUUCCACCAUUGACCAGAGAACAAUUGGCCAAAGAAGUUGAAUACCUUAUAAGGAAGGGAUGGGUUGCUUGCUUGGAAUUCGAGACCGAGGUCUAGUUUUAAUUUAUUUUCAAUGCCUUUUCAAUGAACAUAUAUAUAGUUUUGAAUUUAGAUGGUUAAUUGGUUUGUCAUGGUUAAUCUACUUGCAGAAAGGAUUUGUGUACCGUGAGAACCACAGUUCACCAGGAUACUAUGACGGACGUUACUGGACAAUGUGGAAGUUGCCUUUGUUUGGAGCAACUGAUGCUUCUCAAGUGUUGAAGGAGCUUGAUGAAGUUGUUGUUGCUUACCCUAAUGCCUUUGUCCGUAUCAUCGGAUUCGACAACGUUCGUCAAGUUCAAUGCAUCAGUUUCAUUGCACACACACCUGAAGUUUACUAAGUUUGAGUAUUUAAUCACUCUCUGCUGCCACUGGAAGAACAUUUUUCGUUGUUUUUCGAUUUACGCUUUCGGAUUUCAAAUGCAAAUGUAUGGAUAAGAGUUAAUAAAUGAAAUGGUACUUUUAUUCAUUCUGAAAUUAGUAGGAUAUGUUGCUUACCUUGUAAUGUCUUGAACUUGAAAUUUUAACUAACAAAGGAACCAACAGUAUGAUAUUAAAGAAAGAUAAAUUACAUUUCCAGAUAAUUCUUUCUCAUUUUCACCAAAAUUAUGCACAAUCAGUACAUCUUUACAAGAAACUUUUUUGAGCAGAAAUUAUGAACUGCAUAUCGUUGACGCUCCAAAAAGCAAUCCACGGUCUCAAAGUUAUUUUCAUACGCUAAAUACUAGGUCUUCGCUUUUACCUUCUGAAUGACAGCCAAUUUACUCACUAUAUUGCAGCCAAUUCGAACUUUUAUGAAUGGACAAAAUACAUCGAAAUUGACCGUCAUAAUUUUAGGGAAAAAGUUUCAACCAAAGUUGUUGCGUGAUCUUACUGCCUAUUUCCGCAGUCGAUCAAGUGGUAGACUUGCUCACAAAACCUAUUGACCCUACGCCCUUUAAUUGUCCAGUCUUCAUCUGUUAGUAGAUAAUCCUUUUGUUUGGCUUUUCAAUCAUGUUUGUAUUUCCUAUUCUAUAACUUCCAUCAUGAAUAACAUUUUAAGUUCUUCACAUUUGAUAAUACCUUAGCUGAAAAAAUGUAAGGCUCUCUGCAUUGGUGAAAAUAUUUAAAAGAGUAAAUCAAAAUGAUACAAGAGCCAAAAACCAGAUUUUACUAUUCAGAGUUUGCUAUUUAUUUAUAGGGCAAUGCUAAACCGUGCCCCCAGAGGCAAUGGUUAAGCAUCCAAAACAAGAAAGUUUUCACAAAAAAAGUAAUGUAAUCGUUAUUUAGUCAAAAGUGAGACCUUAUGUUUCCAAGACAAAAUUUCUAUUCAUGGAUUCCUUAACCAAUGCCCAAGAAGCACUGGUUAACAAGACCCUUAUUUAUAACACUCCUUCUCAACUUAGUGAGUGGAUAUAAAUUAUUCCAAGCUUGCAAGUAAAAAGGUUGAAUCAUUCUGUCGGACAGAAAACUCUUUGUUAACACAUUUGUCUGUUGAUGCCCAAAAGGAACAUAAGCUGUAGUUGUCAGUUCUGUUGUGAAUUCGGUAACUUCAAAUCUUACACCAAUGAAAUUUAGAUUUGUGGUGAAGUAUCAAUGUAAACUAAUAACCACAAGCAACAACAACAAUUUUAGAUCUAAUCUAAAAACUAAGUGUAAAGCAAAACCACAAUCGAACAAAAGAAGAAACAAGAUAAAGAGAAUAGAGAAAAAGAGCAACGCCAAACAACCGUUUACCUAGUUCGGUCUAUCAUUGACCUACUUUGGGAAAGAGAUCAAGUUCCUUACAAAGAGAUACAAAAAAGGGUUACAAGAAAUUCGCUUCAACAAGUUCUCCAAGACAAAACCUAAUUUCUACCUUUUUCCCAAUCUCAUUCCAUGAACAAGAGACUCAAUGAUUUCACUCACCAAAGGUGUUUCCCAAUUGUUUUUCAACUCUAGAAUCUAACCCCCCAAAAGAGAACCAAUCCAUAUCCUUUGAUUUCCCAAAAAUAUUCUCUUUUGGUUUUCCAAGACUCACUCAAGUUGCUCGCAAAACUCUCCUUUGAUGUGUUUUCCAAAAGGGUCUUGUUACAAGUGUCCCCGGGACACUCUUUAAGCAUUCCAAAAUUAGUAAUUAUUUUUUAAAAAAGUUAAAUGUUUCGAUUUCCAAUGCAUUGAUUACACACUUUUUUAUAAAUACAUACUACUUAUAGUCCUUAAAGAGUGUCUCAGGGACACUUGUUAACAUUUCCCUUUCCAAAAUUGUGCCCCAAUUUUCCAAUUCAUACACGAUCGAUGCAAGGGAAUGUUAUCCAAAAUCAUACCCCAAUUUUUGUCGAACCAAAACUCCAAUUGAACUUCACAUUGUAUCUUCAAAUAUAUAUUCCAACACUUGUUUCAUCCAUAAUAGCUCACAAAUUCCUAGUGCCAUAACUCUAUAUUUUUCCUCAACGAUUGAUCAAUCAACUACACUUUACUUCUUAUUCCUUCAAGCAAUAAGGUUCUCACACAAUAAUGUACAAUGGUUAGAAGGAAAUCUUCUACUUGCAUGACCCACCCGCAAACCGUACCGGAUCCUCAUGGAAUAUUGCAUAACACUUUAUCGUUCCAACUUAUCACUUGGCUGUAUCAAUUUGUUUGAUAAAGUUUCAUCUGAAGUAUAUACUAUACACACACAAAAAUAAGAAGAAUUUCAAAAUUCAUUCUAAUACUCACAGCACAUUCCUAAAAAAAUAUAUAUAUAUAUAUAUAUACUCAUAGCACAAUAUGUGCCUAAUAUUAAGAAUAAUAACAACAGUUUAAAAGAUCGAACGACAUGUUGUUAAAGCCAAUGAUUUAACAAUUAACACUGAUUUUAACCAUAGAUUUGAACCUGAUUAUGCUCUAUAAAAAAUAAUAAAAUGAACAACACCUUUGUAUUUUGACACAUGUUAUAAACACAUCACUAAAACAGCACAAUCAACUUUCAUUUCGACUCUUUUUUGUUCGCAUCAAAGUUAGCUAGGAAAUAGCAAGCACAAAUGUACUUUUAAUACAAACAAUUAAUGGAGACGGAAAAAUCAAUUGUAGUUUUAUAACCAAUAGAUAGCCAAAUCCUAUCCCAUAAACAUACUCCAUAAUAAACAAACCAACUAUGAAUGAACAUAAGUUAUCUAUUUUAGAAGCAUUCAUCAUCCAAUAUACAUUAUAAUUCAAGCCUUAAAUGCUAACACAUUUAAGCUUCUUUGCCAAAAAAAAUUCAAUCGUUACUUUCUUCACAAUAUAGACCCUUCAAGAACAUCAACUUCUCCGUGGAUAACUCUUUAGAGAUAACACAUGCAAAACAAAACGCGGCAGUUGGAGAGCAAAUAACAAAAAGUGAUGAAGAUAGUAAUGGAGAGCAAGCAUGGAAACUACAACAAAAGUAUAUAUAUAACCAGCCUUCCUUCAUCAUACGUAUAAAUAGGACAAAAUAAUCCUUUUGUAAGUUGGUUUGUGUUUUAGUGGUUCACUUAUUGGUAAAGCACAAUAGCCAUUGGAGGUACUAUCUUGUUCCAAGAUUAAUUUACAUGCUAGAGAAACAAAUAUUGGAGUUCCUAGAAGAAAAAAGAAUACGGCAGUUGAUGUUGAUGUGGGCGUGAAACAUUGAUGGAAUGAAAAUGUGAUAGGCAAGAAUUGGAGUCCCUAGAAAUUAGAGUUCCAAGGUUAGCUUGCAUAAGAGAACGGACGAAAGGAUGGAAUGGAUGAUUAGGAAAGUUGAACAUUCUUGAUGAGGCCAAAGACAUUGAAUACAUAUUGGCGCCUUCCUCGUCUCUAAUAUAUAUGCCAAUACCUACUCGAUUGUCAUUAUUUGAAAAAGAAGCGUUUAUGUUACAUGUUUAAUACAUUUAUUACUAUAUGAUAUGAAUAUCUCUCAUAUUCUUAAAAAAAUAAAAUCUCACAUAUUUAUUUGAUAAUUAUAAAAUAUAUUUUUCAAUUAGUUUUUCUUGUUAAUGUGAAUAUGAUUUGAUAUAUAUUCGGUAAUUAGUUGAAAGCAACAUAUAUAUUAGAAAAUAUGAUGCAAUAAUAUUUUAAAUAAGUUAUAAUUUUAUUAUAUGGUCUAUGAAGCCCAGAUACAUGAUACGAUUCGACACCGAUACGGGAAAAUUUUAAAAUAUAAGAUACAAUACGGCUUGGAUAUACUUCAAUAAAAAAUUAAAUUUAAACUACAUAUUAAAACUCAAAACACAAAAUAUGGACUAAAACUCAAAAGCAAAAAAAUUGGUGCAAAACCCAGACCAAACAAAAUAGAAAAAGGAUAAGGCACAACAAUGAAAUUGCCUUCACACAACAAUCAACAAUUUCAUCGUUCUCAAACAAACAAAGAGAGAUGAAAGAGACGACAACAACAAUAGAAAUAUAAAUGUAACUAAUAUUAAUAAUAAAGAAAGCGAAAAUUAGUCAAUUACAUAUGUGAUAUAUCCUAAAUAGAAAACAUCAUUACUUAGUCAAUUACAUAUAUACCAAAUAUGAUAGAAACAUCAGGUAGCCCGCACAUAUCAGUUUUCCACCUCCUAUCGCUCUUAUCCCAGAUGUAUCUGAAAAGUAUCGCAUAAUUGUUUUUUUAAAAAAAUAAAAUUUCAUAUUCGGAUACUCUCCUGAUACGUAUCGAGAAGUAUCAAGCAUGUAUCAGUGCAAGAUACACAGGGGAUAAUGUUCAUCAUCCAUUUUGAAGUAUCUGGACUUCAGAGUAUAUGGUACAAAAUAUACAUGUGAAUCAAAAAGAAAAUAAUGACGAAGAUUAUGAAGUUUUUGUGUUUUUUAAAUGUGUGAAAUUUUAUUAAUUUUUUUAUAAAAAAAGUUUAUUUAACUUUUAUAUUAUGAAAUUUAUAUCAUCAUAUUUUUUUAUAAAGAUUGGGUUAAUAGUUAUGCGGUCCGAUCAAUGACCAAUUGAUCCAACCAUUGACCUAAUGACCCAGUGUUUUGGCCGAAUCGACUACCGGUUCGGGUUUUUAAAACACCGGAUUCACUGCAAGUAUUGGGUCAUUUACUCAUGUAAUUCAUUGUUGCUGGGAUAACUAACAUAUUUCAGGUCCUCCUCUAUGUCUGACCCGAAUUCCCAUAUAGAGAGAUAUUUUAAAUAGGAACCAAACGCAAGUACUGGACAUAACAAUAUAAGAUAGAACAACACAUCAGAAGGUAGAACAACACAUGACAAAUUUUUAUGGCAUUGAAUAAUUUUUUGUUUUAUACAAUUUUUGGGUACGAAAUGCUAUUUUUGUAUUUUUGACAACCUGUACGUGAGACAAAAAGUUGUGAUGUGGUUUGAUGAGGGACAAAAAUAUCAGCUUUUGUCAUGUCCCUUGCCUCCAGUUUGUCCUGUACAUGAAACAAUUUUACAAAUCAAACACUGGACAACUGAAGUUGUUUUGUCCUAUCCUUUAUUUUUUAGCAAAUCAAAGGCACCCAUUAUAUUAUUUCAGUGUUUUAGCUAUUUCUAUCUCAUAGUGGAUUUUCGAUUUUGCCAAAACCGAAUCAAUUCAUUGUUUAAGAGGACUAUGAUUCAUCUCCUUCAUAGAUGCUUGCAAGUAUUCUUAGUUUUAUGUUCGAAUUAGGGGAUGUUUGGUUUCUUACUAAUCCGCGGUCAAUGUUUGAAUUUCUGUACUAAUACAUCCAUAAAAACUUGAUUUGUUUUGACAUGUGGACAAUAGCAAAAAAGUGUCCUUUUUUUAAGGAAAGCAAAAAAGUUUUUGAACAAGAGGAAAGCAAAAAAGUGCCCUUAGCAUUUAUUAAAGGAAUACAAAUUUUAGAUGGUAUUCUGGUUGCUAAUUAGGUAGUUGAUGAAUCUAAAAAAUUGAAAAAAGAAUUGCUUUUAUUUAAAGUCGACUUUAAGAAAGCAUACAAUUCAGUUGAUUGGAAAUAUUUGGAUGAUAUUAUGGUUACGAUGUUGUUUCCGACUAUUUGGAGGAAAUGAAUGAAAAAAUGUGUUGGGACUGCUACUGCGACUGUUUUAUUGAAUGGUAGUCCCACUGAGAAAUUCACUUUAGCUAGAGGUCUGCGACAGGGAGAUCCCCUUUCACCUUUCUUGUUCCUUCUGGUGGUUGAGGGGUUUCAUGUGAUGAUGGAGUCUAUUGUUAAUACUAAUAAUAUUUUUAGUGAUUACAAAGUAGGGGGUCGGCCAUUAACUAUUUAUAACCCUCAGUUUACGGAUGAUAACUUUGAUUUUGGGGGAAAGAAGUUGGGCUAAUGUUCGAGCUAUGCAUGUCACCCUUCAUCUUUUUGCAGCGAGGUCUGGUUUAAAGGUUAAUUUCCACAAAAGUGAGUUAGUUGGCAUAAACAUUGGUGGGUCUUGGUUAGCUAAAGUUGCGGCGGUUUUGAAUUGUAAGGUUACAACAUUGUUUGUUUUGUAUGUGGGCCUCCCUAUUGAUGGAGAUUCUCGUCGAUUGAAUAUUUGGGAACCGAUGGCUAAUCGUAUUAAGUCCCACCUGUCAAGUUGGAAAAGUAGAAAUUUUUCUUUUCCAUUUGUUUGGACAUGGAAGUUGGUGUUUUGGAGGUUAUGAGAAUCAGAGAGUUUAAUUUAACGUUGUUGGGUAAGUAGUGUUGGAGGCUGGCGGUGAAUUGAAAGGGUCUCUGGUUUAAAGUCUUGGUUGAGAGGUACGGGGUUGUUGGGGGAGGUUGGAGGAGGGUGGUAGGGAUGGAUGAGUGUGGUGGAGGGAGGUAGCAGGCAUCCGUGAUGGCGUAGGUGCGGGUGAAGGAUGCUGGUUCACUGAUAAUUUGCGCAUUAAGGUUGGUAAUGGUGCCACCGCUUUGUUUUGGUUGGAUAUGUGGGUGGGUGAUGUUCCUCUUCGGGACAAGUUUCAUCGUUUAUUUGAUUUAUCAGAAAAUAAAGACUCGCCUAUCGCUCAAAUAUUUUCGUUAGGGUGGGGUGAGGGAGGGGAGGCUUGGAAGUGGAAGAGAAAAUUAUGAGCGUGAGAGGAGGAGAUGGUAGAUGAGUGUAGGGUGUUACUGCUGACUGUUUCUUUGUAGGGUGAUGUUCAUGAUGUUUGGUCUUGGGGUCCUGAUCCAAUUGGUGGGUAUUCGGUCAAUGGUGCAUGAUGUAGGAGGGUUUCCAUAGUAUUUUAUUAUUUCAAUCUAAUUUUAUUAUUGGUUGUUUUGUUUUCAGUUUUUUUUUUGCCCAUUAGGGUUUUGUUAUUUCCCUAGUUAAGCUUUAACAUUGUAGGCCAAAGAGGCAACUUUUAUUCAUUCAAUAAUAUUUUAGAGAGUUUUUCUCAAUUUUUGGUGGAUUAUGGAACCCUAUUUUCACAAGUUCAUCGCUUACAAACUUGUUCCUUUCAAUCUAGGUUUAGCGCUUGCUAGCCUAUCCUUCCGUACUAGUCAGUUGGUAUCAGAGCAGGUUUCUCCUGUUCUUUUCCUAACAUGAUCAGCCAUAGGCCGGGCAGGCCUUGAGGGAGUGCAAGGUGCUCAAUCAAGCCGGGCCUCCAAAAUCUAUGGGCCUCCGAAAAAAUUAACUCUAAUACCCACCCCACUUAAAUAUAAAAAUAUAUAUGUUACUUCUUUACACGUUUGAGUUUCUUCUAGACUUUAGUUCUCCUAUCUGGACAUAAAUUUGGUACUAUCAAACCACUACCAAUUGGUAUAAUGACUUAAUCAGUCAAUUUGAAAAGUUAUUUCAUAGAAAGAAUCACAACAAUCAUUUCUUUUUCACAUAAACCAUUCGUUUUCCCCUUUCCCACAACGGAUAAUUGACAUAUUCAAAUGACACCGUUUGUAAAUUCUACCUCUCUUUCACUUAAUUUUUUUGUAUUUCGUUUCAUGUUUACAAGCUCUUCUGAUUCUGAUUUUUUAAUAAAGCUUAGCUACACAAAAAAAUUACGUUUUUAUUUUAUUGGGGAUCUAUUUUAAAUAGAGAGCCGAGCCUUCUAUUUCAUAGGGACGGCCCUAUAGGUGAUCAAAAUUAAAUGGAAAGUUUAGUCUUCUUUAUCAUUCCCUUCUUUUCAAUUAAAGUUGUCGUCCCUCUAAAUUUCCAUUCCCUAUUUCAAUUGUCGUUCAAGUUAUUAACUUCAUCCAAAGUCCAUUUAUUUCAAGUGCUGCUACAUAUUACUUUCUUUUUUCAAUCGAAUUGCUGGCUGUUGUGUAUCAUAUUUUGCUGGUGGCUGUUUGAAUUGAAUUUGCAUGGUUAGAAAUUCAACAUUAUGUCGUGCCCUUAUAAUCUACCUCCUCCGGUCCUAUAUAUAAGAAACAAUUUACUUUUUUGAUUCAUUGAAUAGUUGAUGUAUUUGGUCUAUUUCUGAACUAGGUACAUCAAUUAUUGAAUGAAUCUAAAAAGUUAACUUUUUCUGAUAAAUAAGACCGGAGGUAGUAUAUGAUUGCCGCAACCAUUCUUCUUUUUAAUUAAAGUUUCCAUCUAAUUAAAUUUAAUCCAACCAUGAGAGAUCAACAGGUCGUGAUUUUAACUGCGGCCAUCAAAGCACUAUCAGAUCAGAUGGCAACGUUGAUAGCUAAGGUUGACGAGAUAAAAAACAGUAACAACAACAGAAAUGAUCCGAACAGAGGAGGAGGAUCAAUUCCGGUUAUUAGGGUUCGUAAUAACAACCAUAUUAUUGUUAUGUAUCGAAAAUUAGAACAUACUCGUGAAGGUGAGAAAAAACACAAGAAGGGGGGGUUGAAUUGUGUUUUCUUUUUCUCUCUAAAAAAUACUUCUUCUGAUAAAAACUUCAGAAGCAGUUUGUGAAUGCUUCUGAUGAAAUGAUCAGAAUCAGAUAUGCAGCGGAAAAGAUCAAAGCAGAGAAAAGAAAAGCAAGACACAAGCAGUUAUCCUGGUUCCUUCCACAAAAUGGAAGUAGUCCAGUCCCCCUUGCACUUCCAAGGAGAUUUCACUAUAAUCACAAAGAUUACAAAUGCUCAAUACUCUCUAAGUAUGAGACUUCUCAAAAAUGCUCAAGCACACACGCAAGAGUCUUCCAAUGCUCAAGCACUAAGCAAGAGUCUUCUAAUGCUCAAGCACGCAGGCAAGAGGCUUCUGAUCAAACAAAAAUACAAUGAAUUAAGUUUGACUUGAACACUUGAUAUACAAUCAGUGGUGUUCACAAUACAAUACAAUAAAGACUCUAGACUUUUGAAUUUCUAAGAUGUAUCAAAUCAGUGCAGAAAUUCAGUGUGCUUUGUAGAAUCAAAUUGACAGAGUUUUGGCGCUUUUUAACUUGUGUAUCUCUAUCUACAAUCUUCAAGUCUUCACUCCUUUAUAUAGAGGCGUGAAAGAGACGUUGAGAUAAUUAGCACGUCUAAAGAGUCGUUUGAAAUCCUUUGAUCAUUCACCAGUAAUCCUUUGCCUGAUUUGGGUGUAGUCCUUUGAAGAAUUAGCUUCAAAUUCAUUCCCAUCUUGAAGGCACAAAUUCUGCAGGCAUAGCUGUUGUCUUGUCUUGUAGCGUGGACAAAACAGAGUAGUGGAGGUAGUGGUUGUACACUUGUACUUUGUCAACUCUGUUAACGAAGGACAAAUACUCAGUGCUAUCCAAAUGACCGUUGAUACCUCCCUUUCAAUUCUUCGUUCUUCUUAGAUAAUGUUGAAAUGAGAAACAGCUACUUUGGAUCUUCAGUUUGAAUUUACGGAUAAAAUGUAGCUUCUGGUGAUGAUAUCGCUUCUGAUGAAAACCUUGCUUCUGAUGAGCUUCUGCUUCUGAUGACGUCAUCACUUCAGAUGCACUUCAGCUUCAGGAGCACUUCAAGCUUCAGACGCAGUUUUCUUCAGAUGCUAUGAAUUCCUUUGCUUUCCAUUGUUCUUCCAAGACCUAUUGAAAUUACUUGACUAGCAUUUGGUCCUGUAUACUUGAACAAUAAUUAGAAAUAACCAAUUGACAAUUUUUAAUACCUUGUUAUCAUCAAAACUCAUUAAGGUUCAUUGUAAAACACAUUUUGUUCCAACAACUCGUGAAUCUGAACAAGUUGAAGGAUGAUCAUUACGAGUUUAAAAUCUCCGAUUCGAUAUAUCGUUGUCCGUUUUGUUACAACAAGGAUUCCUUGACCGACCUUUUGAGACAUGCUUUUAGAAUUGCAGGUAACUUGCGUAAGACGGUUAAAGAUAUUGCCAAACAUUCAGUUUUGAUAACAUACAUUCUAAGGUAUCAUAAUGUUAAUGUUGAUAAAAAUAAGCCACUUGAUGUUAAUAUUGCUAGUGAUAGCCACUUGGUGUCGGUAUUGCUAGCGGUAAGCCAGUUAAUUUGAGUGUCGUUGAUCAGAAGUCGCUUGGUAUGAAUGUAACUAAGUGUCAGCUAGCGAACGUGAAUGUUGUUGAUAGUUUUGUUGCCACAAUGGAAGAAUACAUUAAGGAAUCCACCAAUGAGAAGAUUUGUACAACAUAUUUCUCUAAUAAGAAGCCGCGGUUAUCCUCCGAUGCAUGCUCAGAGAUGCCAGAAAUAAUUAUCACCGAAAUUGAGAGUACGAUGGAUGUUAAUCCUCCAGAAUCUGCUGCGAUAAUCAUCCAGGCUUCAAUUAGAGGAUAUUUAGUUCGGAGAGCACUUCUAAAGAGUAAGAAUGUAGUGAAGUUGCAAGCUGUUGUUCGCGUUCACUUGGUUAGAAGGCAUGAUGUUGGAGCAUCGCGAUGUAUUCAAGCUAUUACUAAAAUGCAAGCUCUGUUUUCAGUUCCGAAUCACAAUUCAACAAUGGGAUUAGGAGUCAAUAUUGCAAGAAUGAAAGGGGGUGAAAUUUAAGGAAGAUGAUUCCCAGAGUAUUGACUGUGAAAUAGUGGAGAAAAUGGAAGCUCGAUAAGUGCCAUAAUGGUUAUUCGUGAAAUAGAUGAUGGUCAAUAUUUGAUGCUUCGGAAUAUGUUACCUCUGAUGUGAUUCAAACACCACUUGAAGUUUUCAAAAGCAUGGAAGCUGAUGGGUUUCCCAUUAAGCGUGGUCGUGUACCCAUCACCUAUGCACCUGAUAUUUUGGAAAAUAAUAUUUUGCUUCUGCCAAAGAAUCUGAGCGUUAUGAAUGUCACCAAACCAGAGUUCACCAAAGAUCAAAAUGUAUAUCCUAAUCAAAGCACAAAACUCUAAUGGGAUGAGAAAUGGAAAUAGUUUUGAUGCUGGAACAGUUCAUACUACUAGUUUGGACAUAACUUCUUUGAAUUUCAUUCAAUGGGAUCGUGGAGGGUGGUCGCUUUGUUCAUUGGAGGAGUCAACAUUCAUGGGAAGCUCUUUAUCAGAAUAAGAACUCGGGCUCGAGUUCUUCAGAGGUGGAGGAGACUCAUGCACAAGAGUUUCCAUAGUAUUUCAACCUAAUUUUAUCAUUUGUUUGUUUUGUUUUCAGUUUGUUAUUUUUGGCCCAUUAGGGUUUUGUUAUUUUCCUAUUUAAGCUUAAUAGUUGUAGCCUAAGAGACAACUUUUAUUAAUUCAAUAAUAUUUUAUAGAGUUUUCUCAAUUUCUGGUGGAUUCCGGAACCCUAUUUUAACAAGUUUAUCGCUUGCAAACUUGUUUCUUUUCAAUCUAGGUUUAACGCUUGCUAGCCUCCGCUUCCGACUGCGUCAAUGCAUACCGUAUUCUGACUGACGCGAACUCCCUCCACACUUUCAUUCCAUCAGACUUAUUGUGGAGAAAGGAGUUCACGUUGAAGGUCUCAGUGUUUGCUUGGCGACUAUUUCAGAAUAGAUUAUCAACAAAGGGGAAUUUAUUUUGUCGCGAGAUCAUACCUCAUGAGUCUCAAUUAUGUGUUAGUGUUUGCGGUAAGGAGGAAACAACCCAACUUUUAUAUUUAGGUUGCAUAAUGUUUGGUUCUAUUUGGAAACUUGUUCGAAAUUGUCUUGGAGUUCAUUUGGUCGAUCCGUUGAAUAUUGUUGAUCCGUUGAAUCACGUCGGUCAUUUAUGUUCUUGAUUUGGUUUGCGACUUUUUGAUCGAUUUGGAAGGAAAGAAACAUCAUGAUUUUCGAUGGCAAAGAAAAUGCUAUAUAUAUAUAUAUAUAUAUAUAUAUAUAUCUUUUUGAUAUCUUAAAGCAAAAGGAAAAAAGGGUCCUUAGCCAAUCUUUUAAGAAAAAAUAAAAUAGGGCUUAAAUAAAUUUUUGAUUGCAUAAAAUUUUGCAUUUAGUUCCUCUAAAAUUGAAAUUCUUAAAACUAAUGAAUAAAUUUAUUUUGUAUUUGGGGUUUAGGGUGUCACAUAGAUAAUUAUAUACGAGGUUUUUUUUAAAGGAAUUUAUAUAUAAGGUUAUAAUUGCACCAACAACAUAUUUUUCACCCGGAAAAAAGAGAGAAAGAAAAGGUUGUAAUUACAUGUUAUUAAAAAAAGAUAACAAUUUAUUUAUGGAAUUUUUUCCUAACUACUUUCUAGAUAAACGUAAUACUUUUUUUUUAUUUUUUUAUUUUGACCGUACUUUCUAGAAAAACGUAAUUUUUUUUUUAUUUUGAUCGGAAAAAUCAUAAUACUAAUUAUUUACAUUAAUUUUAUACGAUUGAGUCAAACAAAAAUUUAUUGCAUGUUUCCUUGAGAGAGGUAUAUAUAUAGCACAAUGGAGGUCAUAUUCAUCUCAAACAAAACAUUCAAUUAAAUAAUAUAUUACUAAAAAAAUGAAGUUCUCACACUACAGAAGAGUUUCAAUCAACCCUCUUAGUUAAUGUAUUUCGAUUGUAGUUCAAAAUUAUUUGUUGUAGUCUUGUAUUAAUUUUUUAUGUUUUUUUUUCUUCAGAUUAUACAUCAAAAAAAUCUCAUGGCGUUCGCUUCCUCGUCGCUAGCUGAAAAGAAGAAGGUUAUGUUCGUAAUGGGUGCAACAUACAUCGGAAAAACUAUACUUUUCAUCUACUUAGGUACUCAUUUCCUCUAUGAAAUCAUCAAUUCAAAUAAAAUUCAAAUUUAUAAAGAUCUUGACUUGACACCAACUUAGUACCAAAAUCUGAACGUUGUUCGAUUUUCACAUCACGUUAUGCAUCAUCAAUGAUCCUGAUAUGAUUUCAUUGUGAUUAAUUUUUUGCAAACACAUGCUUGAAACUCUAUAUUUAUAGGUGAAAAUUGACACCUAACCAUUAUUGUAAGAGGGUCACAUUCUUACAUUGAAAUAUUAGUUGAUUACCCAAUCAUUGAAUUUUGUUCAAAAUAAUAUUGUUGUUUUAUUUAGCUUGAUGCUUCUUUGCCUCGUUUGAUUUAAUAUUUAUACAAAAGAGGAGACCAAAUGGUUGAGGCAGAGAUUGUGGAUGAAAUUAGAGAAAAGGAAAAAUUGGAUUCCUAAGCUUGAUUGUUAUUUUGAGAUUGAAAAGGAAAAAUCUCUAAUCUUGUACACAAGACCUGCCUCGACCACUUGAUAAACUCUUUUGUCUACGUAUUGAAACAAAAUAGGCAAAUAAACAUCUAGCCAAAUGAAACAACAUUAAAUCUUUAAACAAAAUGUAAUAAUUGCAUCAUCAACUAAUAUUUAUAAGUGAGAAUUUUCCCUCCUAUAAUAAUGUCUAGGUAACAAUUUUCAACUCUGAAAUAUAAAGCUUCAAACAUGUGUUUUCAAAAAUCAAGCACAGUAAAAUCAUAAUCAGAAUUAUUGGUGAUACCUAAUAUGUGAUGUGGAAUCGAACAAUGUUUAUAUUCAGAUACCUUGUUUGUGACAAGUCAAGAUCCUUAUAGACUUAAAUUUUAUCUGAGUUGAUGAUUUCAUAGAGGAAUCGAGUAUCUAAGUAGAUGGUAAAUUUAUUUUUUCCAAUUCCAGUUGCUUCCAUUAUGAACAAAACCUUAUUCUUUUCAGCUAGUAUUGAGGAACAAAAAACCAUGUUUUUUUUUUUUUUUUUUAUGUAUAACCUAAGGAAAUGACAAUAAUAAAAAUAAUUAAAAACUACAACAAAUGAUUUUGGACUAGAAUCGAAAUGGAUUAAUCUUAUACAUGUUGUCAAUAAGGAUACUAGUUAUAUGAAGAAGAGAAUCAAUUGAAACUUUAUUUGUGCUAUAUAUAAUGAUUUAUGAUAUAUGGAGAGAGGGACGGCUGAAUAUGCAAAUUUGGAAUCAAUUUUGGAGAUUCAUGGAGGGCGGGUUUAUCAUCUUGGGUGUCGUAGGGGUGGCUGAGGUUCUAGGGCUACCCAAUAGUUUUAUGAUGUUGUUGUAGUAUUUUGAACAAAUUUGAUUUUUUUAUUUUAUGUUUGAAUAUUGGGUGUUUGUAACAUAUGGAUAAUUUGUUUUUAAUUUUAUGUUUGAAAUUGUGUUGUUUUUGAUCAUUUUCAUUAUAGUAUUUAUUUAUUUAUUCACGAAUGCAUGUUUAUAUCAAAAGAUUAUAUAAUCUGUAUGUAUCAGAGUGAAAAAAACUCUGUUUUUGUUAUGAUACCUUUCAGAUUAUAUAAUAUGAAAUGUCAUAAAACAAUUCGGAUUAUAUAAUCUAAAAUAUGCCUCUUGUGGGUUGUGGGGUGUUUGACACUUUUCGGAUUAUUUAAGCCAAAUUAUUUUAAGAAGUUUCGGAUUAUAUAAUCCAAAACGUAUGUUUAACUGAGACCUACACAAACAUCUCUAGGGUGCUUUGUCUUCCAAUAGUUUUUAUACUGAUUGGAUUAUAUAAUCCGAACCUAAGGUAUUUUGAGAAAAAAAAUAGGGCGCUCAAGAACCAAAUAGGGUGGAAAAAGUAAUGGCUAAUAUUGAUUGCCCCAGUAAGGAGCCAGAGCCUGAAAAAAGUACCAUACAUGAUUGAUAUUUGUGGAGGCAUUAAUAGUCACAAAACUACACGUGGCAAUUUCAUAUUGGUGGCUAAUGAUAAGGCUAGCACAAAAAUUUCCAUUCCUGUGUGGUUGAUAUGGCAGCAAAGUUUAUCAUAUUCACAACCAACAAAAUGGUAUUAUGAAGCAUUACCACAAUUUAUAAGACCAUAAUAUUGGAAAUAGAAAAUUAAAAAUAGUAUAUAUAUAAGUUUGAGUAUAGGUUUUGCAAUUCAAGCAGAAGUAUAUCUUACUAGUGAACUAAGGGAGAAAAACAUGGCUUCCUCUAUGAUGUCCUCUUCAGCUGUGACUACAGUUAACCGUGCCUCUUCGGUACAAUCCGGUGCGGUGGCUCCAUUCGUCGGACUCAAGUCCAUGGCUGGCUUCCCAAUUACAAAGGUCAACAAAGACAUUACCUCCAUUACAAGCAAUGGCGGAAGAGUAAACUGCAUGCAGGUGAGAAAAAACAUGCCUACUAUUUUAGUUUAUUUGAGUUUGUUAUUAGCAUAAUCGAAACAAUUUAUGACAUGUCCGUAAACUGUUUUCAUCUUAUAUUUUCAUAAGCCCUUCAAGAUAGUUUAUGAAAACAGGUUAUAGACUAUAUGAAAAAAGUUUGACUUUAAUUUAUCUUUUGUCAUAAAAAUAACUUUUACAUAUUUAGAGAUUCGUUGAAAAAUGCACACAAGUUUGUUAACCAUUUUGUGCAAUUUUAGGUGUGGCCUCCUAUUGGCAAGAAGAAGUUUGAGACUCUUUCAUAUCUUCCACCAUUGACCAGAGAACAAUUGGCGAAAGAAGUUGAAUACCUUAUAAGGAAGGGAUGGGUUGCUUGCUUGGAAUUUGAGACCGAGGUCUAAUAUUACUUGCAAUAUCUUCUCAAUAUUUAUAAUCGUUGUUUUGUCACGGCCAAGGUCACAGUCACAAAUUUGUAUUUAAAACCCUUUUAAUUUGUGUGUGGCCGAUGUGGCCUCAAUUGCUGUCGAACUGCGGUUUCAAUAACAUCAAAAACCGUUAUGUCGCGACCCUGAUCGUGGUCACGGACCUUUAUUUAAAAUCCAUUUGAGUUUUGAUGGUUAACAUAUGUUUGUUUUGACUUCUACUUGCUUACUUGCAGAAAGGAUUUGUGUACCGUGAGAACCACAGUUCACCAGGAUACUAUGACGGACGUUACUGGACAAUGUGGAAGUUGCCUUUGUUUGGAGCAACUGAUGCUUCUCAAGUGUUGAAGGAGCUUGAUGAAGUUGUUGUUGCUUACCCUAAUGCCUUUGUCCGUAUCAUCGGAUUCGACAACGUUCGUCAAGUUCAAUGCAUCAGUUUCAUUGCACACACACCUGAAGUUUACUAAAUUUGAGUGUUAAAUCACUCUUGGCUACCAUUGGAGGAACAUUUUUUUCGCUCUAUUUGUUCUGUUUGUAAUUUCCUUUUAUUUUUUUAAGGAAAUGUCGUACUGUGUUUUUCAGUUUUACCUUUCGGAUUUUAAAAUGCAAAUGGAUGGAUAAGAGUUGAUAAAUGAAAUGGCACUUCUAUUGAUUCUCAAAUUAAUAUUAUCUAUUGUUUUUAUGAGGUUAUUAGGCAAACUUUUACCAUUGCAUUCCAAAAAGUCUCAAAGCCAUUCGUGGUCUGAAAAUCAUCUUCAGACGCUAAAUAUCAGGCCUCUUACCUUCUACUGUUUGCAAUGGCUUACAUACCUUCAGUAUGAUUCCCAUUUACUUUUCAUUUUCCAAUCUUUAUUAUACCGUUGAUGGCCGGUCUGCUCACUACAUCGCAUCCAAUUCUUCCCUCUAUGAACGAACAAAACACAUCGAAAUUGACCGUCUUGUUAGGGAAAAGGCCUCAAUCGAAGUUGUUUCAUCUACUGCUUAUUUUCAUAGUUGAUCAUUUCCCAAGCUGAAAAUGCUAAAUGAUCAUAUACAAGAUUGUGACUGCACAAGUCCCAUCUUUUUCGGGACACUUAAUGAUUUCUUUUACCAUUUUUUAAUCCUAUAAUAAAGUUUGCAUGGUAAAGGUUAGGGGCACAAACAGAUUAAACAGUCUUGGUUUGAUUUUAUAUAAAAUAAUUUUUUUUAAAUACUUGAUUAUGAACUGAUUAUAAUAAUUUUGCUGUGAAAUAAAAAUGCAGGAUGAUAAUAAUUUUAAUGAUUAUGAAGGGAACAUUUUCUCAACUUACAUUGACAUCCAAAAUAAAAGAGAGGACCUGUUGAGAAUAAUAUGUAUAUAUCCUUAGAAGAUUAUAAAUGUAAAUUUAAAUAUAUUUAAAAUAAGAUAUCAUUAAGAUAUAACUAAUCAUUAUUGGUUGUAUUACAUUACAUCCUUUAACAGCAGCGCUAGCAUUGGAUAUUGAUCCAAGUACAAUGUGAGUGUUAGCAGAGCCGUUGUAAGACCCACGCGUGUCCGGCGGUUACGAAAUUAUAGGAAGUGUAAUCGUCGGGGAGAGAUUCGCGGAAACAUGGGAAAGAGACGUUACAGUUCGUUUGAACCGGUCUCUGUUGCUCCGAGUACUCCCUCGCGGGGAAGGAGAGUGUUGCGAGUAAUAGUACCAAAUGCAGUAUUUGGGUUGUAAUUGUUAUUGGGCCUAAGCAAUUGGGCCUUAGGUGUUUGGCCGGUCCAAAACACUAACAAAUCCAAAACUCUUUUAAAACUAGACUAUUACUUUUACCACCCUCCUCUGUGAAGCCUAAUCAGAUUUACUUUAUAUGUUUUUGAUGAUGUUCUUUAGCUUAGUUUAUCGUUUUAAUAAUUGCCUUAUGGCUAGCAUGUUAUAGCAUCCAUCAUCUAUGUGUCUUGAUCUAGGAUUUACUUGCGUCUUGUGCAAAAGUGUCAUUGUUCAUCUUUUGGCAUAUUGAAUCGAUUCAUCACUAUCAAUUACACUCAAUCAAUUCAUUUGAAGGUUGAAUCAUAUCAUUCUUCAUCCUUGACUCACUUAAAUCGAUUCACUUAUGCAUUGAAUCGUUUCAUCCUUCAUGCGUUCUUGGGUUGUCUUUUGCUAUCUGAAUCGAUUCACUCAUUUAGUGAAUCGAUUCACCAUGUUGAUUUUGUGCGAAAAUUUUGUCUUGUCACUUUUCUCUAUAUAGAGUCUUCCCUUCAUAUCUCUCAAUUUAUUGAAUCAUUUGCAACUAUUCUCUCUAGGCCUCAAAAACUCUUUGCACAUAAAUUCUUCAAGAUUAAACACUUUUUCUUAGAAUCAUUUGUUCUUUGAGUUGCAUUGAUUUGUUAGGGUACUAGUAGGGAUUGUAAGUUUGUUCUUUCAAGAAAAUUGAUUGGGCUUAAUCAAGGUUUUAAAGUGAAGUGAAUAAUCUCAUUCCACCUCCAAACGACUUGGGGGUCUUUCUAACCGUUCUUGAAGUCCAAGGGGAUUCGCUUACCAGACGUAGCAUUGAAGGCUCAACUGAAGAGUUCGAAGGGGUGCACGGGUAUUCAAGGAUUCAAAGAUUCAAGGAGCACCAAAUUCAAAGGUUAUUUGAAGUUUGGGAGAAUGUUUGCAUAGGGGUUGAAGAAUUAGGUUUAAUUUCAAGGAACUCUUGUAAACACAUUGUAUUUAACAUUUGUUACAUAGUGGAUGACCUUGGUGAAGGCGUACUUCAUCAAGAAGAGUAGACGUAGCUCUAGAGAUGACAAGAAAGAGCAAACUACAAUAAAAAUAUUGGUGUUAUCUCUCUUCCCCUAUCACCUUUACUUUUUACUAUUGCAUGUGAUUAAUUGAAUAGUUGUUAGGAUAAUUGCUAGUGUUGAUCUAAGUUGUUUUUCAUCAAAAGAUAAUCUAAUUCAUUGAAUUAGGUUUUACCUAAUUUGCUUAGAUCAAUUGAUUGCAACAUCUAUUCAAUUCUUCAGUUUCAUAUGCAUUGUGUUUUCAAUUGAUAGCUUAGCAAUUCUGUCCAUAUAGGUUUGGUUUGAAAUUGUCUAAAUGUUUUGUAUAUUGUUCAAGGUUUAUUAAAGUUUGAUUGUAUAUAAUAUUUGUAUCAUGAAUCUCUGAAUUCUAGAUAAAAUCGUAUCUCACAUAGAUUUAUCUUUUUGUAAAUUGUUGUGAUUGUUUCCGCACGAUUUCAAUAGUCAAUUUCGUUAAACUCCCUUUUUAUUAACUCCGGAAAAACUCCCCCCUCCCCCCCCCCCCCCCCCCCAGCUUAAAAACUAAUUAGCCAUAUAGACCAACACUCUAUUCUAGCACGCCCUGCUAAAAAGACAGAGAUACCUUUGGUCCUGAUUAUAUAAUCUGAACCAGAUCGUUGGAGUUUUUCGGUUUACAAAAUCCGGUCAAUUUCAAAAUGUGAUUUUUGGUGUUUUCUUUGAAGUCAAAGGUCUCUGUUGACCGUUAUAUAACCCCCGCAUAAGCUGCAAAGCAAUUGUUGGGUGAAGUGAAGAAUGAAGAAAUUUGUUGAAGAUGGAAGCCUAUUUAUAGCCUAAAAUAAGUCAUAUGUCAUAAGUACAGUCAAUGAAAACGUGUUUGUGGUGCUAACCAUCCAAAAAUGCAUUAAUGGCUCCACUAACCAGCCAAACCUUUGGUGAAACGCCACCGUCCAAAAGAAACUGAGGGUUUUCGAAUUAUAUAAUCUGAAAAUGACAAAAAGAUUCCAGAUUAUAUAAUUCGAACAACAUCAGAAUGCCUAUUUGGAGGGUUUUUUUUAGAGAGAUUUUUUGGAAUAUGACAUAAAAUAAUUAAUAAAUGGAUAAAAAAAACAAGUAAGCAGUAGAAAACAACAUAAACAACAAAAUAUUUUAGGAUAGUGUUCUAAGUGGUGCUUUUGAACUCGAUCUAGCUGGCCUGCCAACUGACAUAUUUCUAUCGGAAGGCCAACUGGAUCGAGCUCAUAAAAACCUUUUCGGAUUCUAAUCUGCAACAUAACGUUGAAAGACAAGGUGUUUCCAGAGGAUAGUUUUGAGUUAGAUCCGGCUGCCUUUCCAAUUGAGAUAUUUAUAUCGCAUAGGCAGAACAAUCUAGCUCAUAGCAACCUCUUGGUAUUCAAAUAGAGAGCAACAUCUUUGUAUCUAUCUAUAUAUUUUUGACAACAUGCUGAAGAUCUACAUAAUGAUGUCAAAUAAAGAGCUAUCUAUUUGAGACAACAUUAGGUAGAUCCUCGGCGCAAUGACAAAAAAUUCAUGGUUUCUUUGGUGUGUUUGGUUGUAAUUUUGACAGCAUGCUGAAGAUCUUCAUCACGCAGUCAAAUAGAGAGCUAUCUAUUUGUGAUCGUGAGAGAAAGAUCAUAUGUUUAAUGACAAAAAUUUGCAUGGUUUUCUUUGGUGUGUUUGUGUGUUUGGUUGGAAAUGAAGAUGAAAACCGGAAAUACUUAUUUAUACAGGUCUCUGGACAUUUUGGACCAUAGAAACUGUCGGUGCAUUGUGAUUCAUACAAAAGAAUCCUAUCUGAAGGAAUUCGGAUUAUGUAAUUUGAAUUGCACUUACAGCCUAUAAAAUUGAUUUGAAUUCGGAUUAUUUUAGCAUUUAACUAAACAUAUUUGACGUAAAGUAACACAUAAUGAAAAUUUAGAUAAUAUAUAUAUUAUUUAAAACAUAAUAAAACAUCUUAGUUGAACAAAAUAUAACUUACACGUAAUUAAAUAAAACAUAAAACACGUAACUAAAUAAAAAAUAGUACAUCAUCAUAGAUCAUUUAAACUAAUGUCUUCGUCUGGUGCAUCCAUUAAUUAGUUCCCUGAUCUCUUCGUAGUUCCUGGGCCGGAUCAAAAUUUGUUGAAUAUGUUAAACAAAUCUAACCAACGAAGCAUCCAACUUGAUUGGUCCUCUAGUACUGUACUGACCAAAGAUCGAGAACAUGGUUCUCACCUCGUCAUCUUUUUUGAGCUUCAUCCUGCUGAACUACACACUCCCGGCUAAGUCGGUCGAUGGACAUCGAUACUCUACAUCAUCCACUGAUGUAGUAUUUUUGCAUCAAACAAUUGUAAGUAUUUAUAUCGUCUCCUCAGGGACUAGUGCGAUAUCGCGGACCGUUCGACACCAAAUAUCAUUUCAAGUUAAACGAUAGUUGAUUGUUUGUUUUAGUAACUGAAUUGCAAAUGAUACAAUUGAGAUUAAUAGGGCGUAAAACUUGUUAGGAUUAGAGUUCCUUGAUCGAGCGUCGCACGUAACCUAAUGAGCAUACAUGGAUUCUAGCUUGUCUUUGAUAUUAUCACGUAUCCCUCGACAACACCAUUCGUGUCCAAACAAUAUUGUGAAAUCAAUUGUAUCAUUCAAUGGUCGAUGUCUCAAACUAUUGAAUGAUUCAAGAGUCGAUCUUAUCGUUCAAUCGAUGAUUUCUCAAUCUAUUAAAUGAUAAGAAAGCUUUAGGUUUGGAUACUCAAGGUGAUUAUCAAAACAUCGAUUCCAUGUCUAGAAACUAUGUUUUGAUAGAUGGUUAUUCUAAACCUAGAUUCAAAAGUAUUUCUCAAUCACAAUUAAAUCAAAGAUAAAGAUUAAAGUGCAAGAAUAACCUCAAUAUCAAUUCAAAUGCUAGAACCAUAUAUUUAUAGAUCAAACGAUUACAUGUUAAACUAUGAUCAAGUACCUCUAAUCCCAACAAAGGAGAUUUAGCUACUCAUUGUCAUGGAAGCCUUGCAAGAAUGAAUUGAAGAAGCAAGAUUCAUUACAACUUGUGAUGUCUCAACAAAGGAUGAAGAAUCCACUCUCUAUCACUCUCACUCUAUAAAGCACAAGCCCUAUCUCUCUCUCUCUAAGAAUAUUACAAGUGAAAACACAGAGAGAAACUAAGUGAAAAACUAUGUAAAAACUAUCUCCCUCUGAAAUGGUUGAGUGGGCUAUUUAUAGAAUUCUGAGUCUGCCUUCACUCGCCUCGCGAGCUGCUUCAUUCGCCAUGGCGAGUUGAAGUUUCUUCCCCAUUGGGUUUGUGCCACGUCAGCAUUUAGAGGCUAAACCGCCCUUACUCGCCUCGCGAGUCCUUCCAUUCGCCAUGGCGAGUAAGCUCGCCUUCUACUCGCCAUUGCGAGUUGGUGGCGUGUGAUCUUUGUUGCAUUCUGGAAUUGCUCGCCUUUGCUGCUUGCCAUGGCGAGUUGGAGGCGAGUGAUCUCCUUUUUCUGCCUUUUUGUACUUUUCUCGAUUUUCUUCUCUUUGCUUGAUGUCUUGAGUUCGAAUCCUGCACAAAUGGGUGAAGUAAGAUAGAUAAAGCGUAAAAGGGCAAUAAUCACUUAUUUCUCGGCUUUUCCCUUAAUAACUUGCAAAACAAGUAACAAAAGUGCCUAAAAUAUAUCACUUAAAUUACAACUUUCUAGCACUUAUCAUCCACCCUCCGUGUGUCUUUGUAGUUGAGUUUGAGGUUAAUUUGAUUCAGCCGACUCUUCAACCCGGAGAGGGUGAGAUCAGUGGGAAUCUUGAACAAAUGGGAUGGUUUCCCCUCGUUGUAGUAAACUACGGCUAGCUUGGUGUUCGGAUCAAAGACAGAGUUUUCCAUGGUUUUUUUGUGUGUGUAGUUUCUGGUUAUGAACACAGAGACACCUAUUUAUAGAGGUCCAUGGGCGUCCUGGACCAUAGAAAUUGUCGGUGCAAUGUGGACCACAUGAAAAAAAAUCAUGUUUCAGAUUGUAUAAUUCGAAAUGUCCCUCACCCCACAGAAGGUGGGCAGUUUCCUUUAAUUUUGCCCAGUAUCCUAAAAAUUCGGAUUAUAUAAUCCGGAAACCAUGGGAAGUUUUUGGAUUAUAUAAUCUGAACUGUGUCAGUUUCUUUUGGACGGUGGUCUGCACCACAAGAAACACGUUUUCAAUGGUUUUUACCAGCAUUAAUGGCUGAUAAAAGUCCUUUGAAACACAUUUUUGACUCACCAUUAAGUUUGUAAUUGCACCAACAACCCAUUUUUAACCUGAAAAAUAAGAGAAAAAUAGGGUGUAAUUACAUGUAUAAUAAUAGGUAACAAUUAUUUAUGGAUUUUUUUUUCUCUAAAAUACUCUCUAGAAAGACGUAAUACUUUUUUAUUUUGACCAAAAAAACAUAAUACUUUUGCUUUUACAUUAAUUUUAUACAACUCAGUCAAACAAAACCUUAUUCAACGUUUUCUCGAUAGAAGUAUAUAUAGCACAUUGAGGUCAUAUUCAUCUCAAACCAUAAUAAAGUUUUAAGCAAAAGAGAAGUGCUAUAUGUCCCGAUAAGAGAUAAAGUUUUAAGCAUGCACUUUGACGGAAUACAAGGGUAGGUGGGCAAUAAAAUAGCUUCGUGAGACAAUCGGGAUGUAUGGUCUCACGAUAUUAAGCAAUUUCCAAUUCAAAAAUGAAGUUCUCAUUUUACAACAGAGUUUCAAUCAACCCUCUUCUUAGUUAAUGCAUUUCGAUUUUUAUUUUAAAAUUAUUUAUUGUAGUCUUGAAUUGAUUUUUUAUUUUUUUUUCUUCAGAUUUUACAUCAACAAAAUCUCACGGCGUUGGCUUCCUCCUCACUAGCUGAAAAGAAGAAGGUUAUGUUCAUAACGGGUGCAACUAACACUGGAAAAACUAUACUUUUCAUCUACUUAGGUACUAAUUUCUUCUAUGAAAUCUUCAAUUUUAAUAAAAUUCAAAUUUAUUAAGAUCUUGACUUAACACCAGCUUGGUACCACAAUUUGAAUGUUGUUCGAUUUCACAUCACAUGUUAUUAUGCAUCAUCAAUGAUCCAAAUAUGAUUUCCCUGUUAAUGAUUUUUGCAAACACAUGUCUGAAGCUCUAUAUUUAUAGCUGAAAAUGGACACCUAACCAUUAUUGUAGGAGGGUAAUGUUCUUACAUUGAAAUAUUAGUUGAUGACCCAAUCAUUGAACUUUGUUCAAAAUGUUAUUGUUGUUACAUUGAAAUAUUAUUGUUGUUUCAAAAAUCAAUCACAAUGAAAUCAUAUUCAGAAUUAUUGGUGACGUCUAAUAUGUGAUGUGGAAUUGAACAAUGUUCAUCCUCUGAUACCUUAUUGGUGAAAGGUCAAGACCCUUAUAAACUUGAAUUUUAUCAGAGUGGAUGAUUUCAUAGAGGAAUUAAGUACCUAAGUAGAUGGAAAAUUUAUUUUUUCCAGUUCCAGUUGCUUUCUUUAUGAACAAAACCUUGUUUUUUUGGCUAGUAUAUUGAGGAAAAAAAGCCAAGAAAUAUAUAUAUAUAUAUAUAUAUAUAUUUUUAAUGUAUAGCCUAUGGAAAAUACAAUAAUACAAAUAAGACUUGGAGACCCUUUUUGCCCCCUAACUUUGCACUAGUUGCGAUCUUGGCUCCCUAUAAAAAAAAAAAAACACAUUUCAGCCCCCUAACUUUUCCCUUUUUGCAACUUUCAAUUUUGAUCAUUCAAACCCAACCAUUCAUGACAGUAAAAACAAGUGGGUGUUUUUGUUUAGCAAGUUUCAAAUUUAUAGGGCAAAGAAUACGACUUGAGACUUGUUUUUUGACUUUCUACCGUCUUGAAUGUUUGAUUUUGAAUGAUCAAAAUUAAAAAUUGUAAAAGGGGAAAACCUAAAGGAUUGGAAUGUGUUUUUUCUUAAUAAGGAGACAAAAUCGCAACUAGUGCAAAGUUAGGGAGGCAAAAGCGCAUUUAAGCGUAAAAAUAAUUAAAAACCACAACAAAUGAUUUUGAACUAGAAUCGAAAUUGAUUAAUCUUAUACAUGUUGUCAAUAAGGAUACUAUGUAUAUGAAGAAGAGAAUCAAUUGAAACUUUAUUUGUGCUAUACAUAAUGAUAAAUGAUAUAUGGAGAGAAGGACCGCUAAACAGGCGAGUUUAGAAUCAAUUUAGCAGGAGGUUCAUGGAGGGCGGGUCUAUCGUUGUAGGCGUGGUAGGGAUUGUAUCCUACAAAUAUUUUGUUUUUAAUUUUAUGUUUGAAAAUGGUGUUGUUUCUUAUCUUUUUCAUUACAAUAUUUUAUUUAUUUAUUCACGAGUGCAUGUUUAUAUCAAAGGAUUAUAUAAUUUGUAUGUAUCAGAGUGAAAACAGACUAUUAUUGUUAUGAUACCUUUCAGAUUAUAUAAUUGUAACAGUUUUAUGACAUUUCAGAUUAUAUAAUCCGAAAUAUGCGUUUUUUUACAUCACAAUUGACCCUUUUGGAGUGUUUGACACUUUUCAGAUUAUAUAAGCCAAAUUAUUUUAAGGAGUUUCAAAUUAUAUAAUCUGAAACGUAUGUUUAACUGAGACCUACACAAACAUCUCUAAAAUGUUUUGUCUUCUAACAAUUUUUAUAUUGUUUGGAUUAUAUAAUCCUAAACGUUGGUCUGAUUAAUAAAAUUUGAACGAAAAGUAUUUUGAGAAGAAAAAAAAUAGGGUGCAAUAACCAAAUAGCGUGAGAAAAAUAAUGGCCUUAUUGAUCACCCCGUAAGGAGCCAAUGCCUGAAAAAAGUACCAUAGAUGAUUGAUAUUUGUGGAGGCAUUAAUAGUCACAAAACUACACGUGGCAAUUUCAUAUUGGUGGCUAAUGAUAAGGCUAGCACAAAAAUUUCCAUUCCUGUGUGGUUGAUAUGGCAGCAAAGUUUAUCAUAUUCACAAAAUGGUAUUAUGAAGCAUUACCACAAUUUAUAAGACCAUAAUAUUGGAAAUAGAAAAAUAAAAACAUUAUAUAAAGCAAGUUUGAGUAUAGGCUUUGCAAUUCAAGCAGAAGUAUAUCUUACUAGUGAACAAAGUAAGGGAGAAAAACAUGGCUUCCUCUAUGAUGUCCUCUUCAGCUGUGACUACAGUUAACCGUGCCUCUUCGGUACAAUCCGGUGCGGUGGCUCCAUUCGUCGGACUCAAGUCCAUGGCUGGCUUCCCAGUUACAAAGGUUAACAAAGACAUUACUUCCAUUACAAGCAAUGGUGGAAGAGUAAACUGCAUGCAGGUGAGAAAACAAUAUACCUUGCUUUGUAUCAACUUCUUAACUUGUUUGGAUUGAGUUAUUUUAGUUUAUCUAAUGACAUUGAACUUAUGAGACUACUUGAGAGAGCUUAUGAAAACAAUUUAUGCUCAUAAAAUAUUUUCAGCUUAUUUCCAUAUGACAUGUUACUCUUUAUUAUUCACUUAUACUACAAAAUUGAGAGAUCCUUGUUAUGAUCUCAAUUUAUUAUAUUAAUGCUUUUGCAUGUCUUUUUUCAUUAGAUUUAAAAACGUAUAUGUUGCAUAUUUUGGUACUAGAAGGUUACUUGAAUAACACUAAAGGAUUCAAAAAAAAUUUCAAUUUUAGGUGUGGCCUCCUAUUGGCAAGAAGAAGUUUGAGACUCUUUCAUACCUUCCACCAUUGACCAGAGAACAAUUGGCGAAAGAAGUUGAAUACCUUAUAAGGAAGGGAUGGGUUGCUUGCUUGGAAUUCGAGACCGAGGUCUAGUUUUAAUUUAUUUUCAAUGCCUUUUCAACGAACAUAUAUAUAGUUUUGAACUUAGAUGGUUAAUCGGUUUGUCAUGGUUAAUCUACUUGCAGAAAGGAUUUGUGUACCGUGAGAACCACAGUUCACCAGGAUAUUAUGACGGACGUUACUGGACAAUGUGGAAGUUGCCUUUGUUUGGAGCAACUGAUGCUUCUCAAGUGUUGAAGGAGCUUGAUGAAGUUGUUGUUGCUUACCCUAAUGCCUUUGUCCGUAUCAUCGGAUUCGACAACGUUCGUCAAGUUCAAUGCAUCAGUUUCAUUGCACACACACCUGNNNNNNNNNNNNNNNNNNNNNNNNNNNNNNNNNNNNNNNNNNNNNNNNNNNNNNNNNNNNNNNNNNNNNNNNNNNNNNNNNNNNNNNNNNNNNNNNNNNNNNNNNNNNNNNNNNNNNNNNNNNNNNNNNNNNNNNNNNNNNNNNNNNNNNNNNNNNNNNNNNNNNNNNNNNNNNNNNNNNNNNNNNNNNNNNNNNNNNNNNNNNNNNNNNNNNNNNNNNNNNNNNNNNNNNNNNNNNNNNNNNNNNNNNNNNNNNNNNNNNNNNNNNNNNNNNNNNNNNNNNNNNNNNNNNNNNNNNNNNNNNNNNNNNNNNNNNNNNNNNNNNNNNNNNNNNNNNNNNNNNNNNNNNNNNNNNNNNNNNNNNNNNNNNNNNNNNNNNNNNNNNNNNNNNNNNNNNNNNNNNNNNNNNNNNNNNNNNNNNNNNNNNNNNNNNNNNNNNNNNNNNNNNNNNNNNNNNNNNNNNNNNNNNNNNNNNNNNNNNNNNNNNNNNNNNNNNNNNNNNNNNNNNNNNNNNNNNNNNNNNNNNNNNNNNNNNNNNNNNNNNNNNNNNNNNNNNNNNNNNNNNNNNNNNNNNNNNNNNNNNNNNNNNNNNNNNNNNNNNNNNNNNNNNNNNNNNNNNNNNNNNNNNNNNNNNNNNNNNNNNNNNNNNNNNNNNNNNNNNNNNNNNNNNNNNNNNNNNNNNNNNNNNNNNNNNNNNNNNNNNNNNNNNNNNNNNNNNNNNNNNNNNNNNNNNNNNNNNNNNNNNNNNNNNNNNNNNNNNNNNNNNNNNNNNNNNNNNNNNNNNNNNNNNNNNNNNNNNNNNNNNNNNNNNNNNNNNNNNNNNNNNNNNNNNNNNNNNNNNNNNNNNNNNNNNNNNNNNNNNNNNNNNNNNNNNNNNNNNNNNNNNNNNNNNNNNNNNNNNNNNNNNNNNNNNNNNNNNNNNNNNNNNNNNNNNNNNNNNNNNNNNNNNNNNNNNNNNNNNNNNNNNNNNNNNNNNNNNNNNNNNNNNNNNNNNNNNNNNNNNNNNNNNNNNNNNNNNNNNNNNNNNNNNNNNNNNNNNNNNNNNNNNNNNNNNNNNNNNNNNNNNNNNNNNNNNNNNNNNNNNNNNNNNNNNNNNNNNNNNNNNNNNNNNNNNNNNNNNNNNNNNNNNNNNNNNNNNNNNNNNNNNNNNNNNNNNNNNNNNNNNNNNNNNNNNNNNNNNNNNNNNNNNNNNNNNNNNNNNNNNNNNNNNNNNNNNNNNNNNNNNNNNNNNNNNNNNNNNNNNNNNNNNNNNNNNNNNNNNNNNNNNNNNNNNNNNNNNNNNNNNNNNNNNNNNNNNNNNNNNNNNNNNNNNNNNNNNNNNNNNNNNNNNNNNNNNNNNNNNNNNNNNNNNNNNNNNNNNNNNNNNNNNNNNNNNNNNNNNNNNNNNNNNNNNNNNNNNNNNNNNNNNNNNNNNNNNNNNNNNNNNNNNNNNNNNNNNNNNNNNNNNNNNNNNNNNNNNNNNNNNNNNNNNNNNNNNNNNNNNNNNNNNNNNNCUCGCCAUUGCGAGUUGGUGGCGUGUGAUCUUUGUUGCAUUCUGGAAUUGCUCGCCUUUGCUGCUUGCCAUGGCGAGUUGGAGGCGAGUGAUCUCCUUUUUCUGCCUUUUUGUACUUUUCUCGAUUUUCUUCUCUUUGCUUGAUGUCUUGAGUUCGAAUCCUGCACAAAUGGGUGAAGUAAGAUAGAUAAAGCGUAAAAGGGCAAUAAUCACUUAUUUCUCGGCUUUUCCCUUAAUAACUUGCAAAACAAGUAACAAAAGUGCCUAAAAUAUAUCACUUAAAUUACAACUUUCUAGCACUUAUCAUCCACCCUCCGUGUGUCUUUGUAGUUGAGUUUGAGGUUAAUUUGAUUCAGCCGACUCUUCAACCCGGAGAGGGUGAGAUCAGUGGGAAUCUUGAACAAAUGGGAUGGUUUCCCCUCGUUGUAGUAAACUACGGCUAGCUUGGUGUUCGGAUCAAAGACAGAGUUUUCCAUGGUUUUUUUGUGUGUGUAGUUUCUGGUUAUGAACACAGAGACACCUAUUUAUAGAGGUCCAUGGGCGUCCUGGACCAUAGAAAUUGUCGGUGCAAUGUGGACCACAUGAAAAAAAAUCAUGUUUCAGAUUGUAUAAUUCGAAAUGUCCCUCACCCCACAGAAGGUGGGCAGUUUCCUUUAAUUUUGCCCAGUAUCCUAAAAAUUCGGAUUAUAUAAUCCGGAAACCAUGGGAAGUUUUUGGAUUAUAUAAUCUGAACUGUGUCAGUUUCUUUUGGACGGUGGUCUGCACCACAAGAAACACGUUUUCAAUGGUUUUUACCAGCAUUAAUGGCUGAUAAAAGUCCUUUGAAACACAUUUUUGACUCACCAUUAAGUUUGUAAUUGCACCAACAACCCAUUUUUAACCUGAAAAAUAAGAGAAAAAUAGGGUGUAAUUACAUGUAUAAUAAUAGGUAACAAUUAUUUAUGGAUUUUUUUUUCUCUAAAAUACUCUCUAGAAAGACGUAAUACUUUUUUAUUUUGACCAAAAAAACAUAAUACUUUUGCUUUUACAUUAAUUUUAUACAACUCAGUCAAACAAAACCUUAUUCAACGUUUUCUCGAUAGAAGUAUAUAUAGCACAUUGAGGUCAUAUUCAUCUCAAACCAUAAUAAAGUUUUAAGCAAAAGAGAAGUGCUAUAUGUCCCGAUAAGAGAUAAAGUUUUAAGCAUGCACUUUGACGGAAUACAAGGGUAGGUGGGCAAUAAAAUAGCUUCGUGAGACAAUCGGGAUGUAUGGUCUCACGAUAUUAAGCAAUUUCCAAUUCAAAAAUGAAGUUCUCAUUUUACAACAGAGUUUCAAUCAACCCUCUUCUUAGUUAAUGCAUUUCGAUUUUUAUUUUAAAAUUAUUUAUUGUAGUCUUGAAUUGAUUUUUUAUUUUUUUUUCUUCAGAUUUUACAUCAACAAAAUCUCACGGCGUUGGCUUCCUCCUCACUAGCUGAAAAGAAGAAGGUUAUGUUCAUAACGGGUGCAACUAACACUGGAAAAACUAUACUUUUCAUCUACUUAGGUACUAAUUUCUUCUAUGAAAUCUUCAAUUUUAAUAAAAUUCAAAUUUAUUAAGAUCUUGACUUAACACCAGCUUGGUACCACAAUUUGAAUGUUGUUCGAUUUCACAUCACAUGUUAUUAUGCAUCAUCAAUGAUCCAAAUAUGAUUUCCCUGUUAAUGAUUUUUGCAAACACAUGUCUGAAGCUCUAUAUUUAUAGCUGAAAAUGGACACCUAACCAUUAUUGUAGGAGGGUAAUGUUCUUACAUUGAAAUAUUAGUUGAUGACCCAAUCAUUGAACUUUGUUCAAAAUGUUAUUGUUGUUACAUUGAAAUAUUAUUGUUGUUUCAAAAAUCAAUCACAAUGAAAUCAUAUUCAGAAUUAUUGGUGACGUCUAAUAUGUGAUGUGGAAUUGAACAAUGUUCAUCCUCUGAUACCUUAUUGGUGAAAGGUCAAGACCCUUAUAAACUUGAAUUUUAUCAGAGUGGAUGAUUUCAUAGAGGAAUUAAGUACCUAAGUAGAUGGAAAAUUUAUUUUUUCCAGUUCCAGUUGCUUUCUUUAUGAACAAAACCUUGUUUUUUUGGCUAGUAUAUUGAGGAAAAAAAGCCAAGAAAUAUAUAUAUAUAUAUAUAUAUAUAUUUUUAAUGUAUAGCCUAUGGAAAAUACAAUAAUACAAAUAAGACUUGGAGACCCUUUUUGCCCCCUAACUUUGCACUAGUUGCGAUCUUGGCUCCCUAUAAAAAAAAAAAAAACACAUUUCAGCCCCCUAACUUUUCCCUUUUUGCAACUUUCAAUUUUGAUCAUUCAAACCCAACCAUUCAUGACAGUAAAAACAAGUGGGUGUUUUUGUUUAGCAAGUUUCAAAUUUAUAGGGCAAAGAAUACGACUUGAGACUUGUUUUUUGACUUUCUACCGUCUUGAAUGUUUGAUUUUGAAUGAUCAAAAUUAAAAAUUGUAAAAGGGGAAAACCUAAAGGAUUGGAAUGUGUUUUUUCUUAAUAAGGAGACAAAAUCGCAACUAGUGCAAAGUUAGGGAGGCAAAAGCGCAUUUAAGCGUAAAAAUAAUUAAAAACCACAACAAAUGAUUUUGAACUAGAAUCGAAAUUGAUUAAUCUUAUACAUGUUGUCAAUAAGGAUACUAUGUAUAUGAAGAAGAGAAUCAAUUGAAACUUUAUUUGUGCUAUACAUAAUGAUAAAUGAUAUAUGGAGAGAAGGACCGCUAAACAGGCGAGUUUAGAAUCAAUUUAGCAGGAGGUUCAUGGAGGGCGGGUCUAUCGUUGUAGGCGUGGUAGGGAUUGUAUCCUACAAAUAUUUUGUUUUUAAUUUUAUGUUUGAAAAUGGUGUUGUUUCUUAUCUUUUUCAUUACAAUAUUUUAUUUAUUUAUUCACGAGUGCAUGUUUAUAUCAAAGGAUUAUAUAAUUUGUAUGUAUCAGAGUGAAAACAGACUAUUAUUGUUAUGAUACCUUUCAGAUUAUAUAAUUGUAACAGUUUUAUGACAUUUCAGAUUAUAUAAUCCGAAAUAUGCGUUUUUUUACAUCACAAUUGACCCUUUUGGAGUGUUUGACACUUUUCAGAUUAUAUAAGCCAAAUUAUUUUAAGGAGUUUCAAAUUAUAUAAUCUGAAACGUAUGUUUAACUGAGACCUACACAAACAUCUCUAAAAUGUUUUGUCUUCUAACAAUUUUUAUAUUGUUUGGAUUAUAUAAUCCUAAACGUUGGUCUGAUUAAUAAAAUUUGAACGAAAAGUAUUUUGAGAAGAAAAAAAAUAGGGUGCAAUAACCAAAUAGCGUGAGAAAAAUAAUGGCCUUAUUGAUCACCCCGUAAGGAGCCAAUGCCUGAAAAAAGUACCAUAGAUGAUUGAUAUUUGUGGAGGCAUUAAUAGUCACAAAACUACACGUGGCAAUUUCAUAUUGGUGGCUAAUGAUAAGGCUAGCACAAAAAUUUCCAUUCCUGUGUGGUUGAUAUGGCAGCAAAGUUUAUCAUAUUCACAAAAUGGUAUUAUGAAGCAUUACCACAAUUUAUAAGACCAUAAUAUUGGAAAUAGAAAAAUAAAAACAUUAUAUAAAGCAAGUUUGAGUAUAGGCUUUGCAAUUCAAGCAGAAGUAUAUCUUACUAGUGAACAAAGUAAGGGAGAAAAACAUGGCUUCCUCUAUGAUGUCCUCUUCAGCUGUGACUACAGUUAACCGUGCCUCUUCGGUACAAUCCGGUGCGGUGGCUCCAUUCGUCGGACUCAAGUCCAUGGCUGGCUUCCCAGUUACAAAGGUUAACAAAGACAUUACUUCCAUUACAAGCAAUGGUGGAAGAGUAAACUGCAUGCAGGUGAGAAAACAAUAUACCUUGCUUUGUAUCAACUUCUUAACUUGUUUGGAUUGAGUUAUUUUAGUUUAUCUAAUGACAUUGAACUUAUGAGACUACUUGAGAGAGCUUAUGAAAACAAUUUAUGCUCAUAAAAUAUUUUCAGCUUAUUUCCAUAUGACAUGUUACUCUUUAUUAUUCACUUAUACUACAAAAUUGAGAGAUCCUUGUUAUGAUCUCAAUUUAUUAUAUUAAUGCUUUUGCAUGUCUUUUUUCAUUAGAUUUAAAAACGUAUAUGUUGCAUAUUUUGGUACUAGAAGGUUACUUGAAUAACACUAAAGGAUUCAAAAAAAAUUUCAAUUUUAGGUGUGGCCUCCUAUUGGCAAGAAGAAGUUUGAGACUCUUUCAUACCUUCCACCAUUGACCAGAGAACAAUUGGCGAAAGAAGUUGAAUACCUUAUAAGGAAGGGAUGGGUUGCUUGCUUGGAAUUCGAGACCGAGGUCUAGUUUUAAUUUAUUUUCAAUGCCUUUUCAACGAACAUAUAUAUAGUUUUGAACUUAGAUGGUUAAUCGGUUUGUCAUGGUUAAUCUACUUGCAGAAAGGAUUUGUGUACCGUGAGAACCACAGUUCACCAGGAUAUUAUGACGGACGUUACUGGACAAUGUGGAAGUUGCCUUUGUUUGGAGCAACUGAUGCUUCUCAAGUGUUGAAGGAGCUUGAUGAAGUUGUUGUUGCUUACCCUAAUGCCUUUGUCCGUAUCAUCGGAUUCGACAACGUUCGUCAAGUUCAAUGCAUCAGUUUCAUUGCACACACACCUGAUGUUUACUAAAUUUGAGAGUUUACUAUCUGCCAUUGGAGGAACAUUUUUUUUCUCUCCAUUUGUUCUGUUUGUAAUUUCCUUUUCUUUUUAAAGGAAAUGUCUCCAGUGUUUCUUCCGUGUUUGCUUUCGGAUUUUGAAAUGCAAAUAGAUGGAUAAGAGUUAAUUAAUGAAAUGGUACUUUUAUUCAUUCUCAAAUUAGUAUUAUCUAUUCUUUUUAUAUCGUAAAUUUGUUUGUUUCUUAAUCUUAACUGUGGAGCAAGUAGUCUAUGAGGUUAUGUAAUCUUAAAGUGCUAAACUGCACCUAUGCUUCUUUUUCAUUGAAGCUACUGAACUUUACCUAAUUGAGAUAUCUUUACCCUUGGCAACAAAAUGAGUAAAUAGAUGAAUUGGUCCCUAAUCGUGAGCAUUUUUGUCAAAAUAGUCCCUGAAAUAUGCUAUUUGACAAA